rnacentral:lncRNA from 1 species
UUUUUUUUCUUGUUUGGUCAAAAAACAAAAAAAAAGAAGAAGAAUAAGGAUAUCAGAGGAUAUUUCAAACGCAACCAAGACUCGGGGUGCGUUUGAUAAACUGAAGUCUGAAAUUUGAAAUCUGAAGUCUGAAUCCAUUAAGUUAUUGAAUUGUUGAAUAUUAAAUCUAAUACAUUUGAGUGCAUAUCACAUUCAGUAAUAAGUGAAUAGCUUAUCACUUAAUUUUGGAAGCAAGUUUUGCCUAGGAAAUUCAGCGCCACUUAAUUAAUUCAGAGGUUCAAUUUUUGUUAUCAAACGGUCUGAAUGUGUUAAAAUCUGAAUCUAUUAAGUUUAAGUGCUGAAUUGAGUUAUCAAACAGGGCCUCAAUGUAGCAACAUUCCACAUGAGCUCACUGAACACAGAAAUUGACUACAAUAAGUAGCAGUGUAAAAACUCUUUGUGUUACCCAACCAUGCACGAUCUACAAUUAAUGAUAACAAGACCUUGCUAGAUCAUCAAUAGACAGAUACCAUCAAUUUACCAAAACUCAUUAAUAUGGAGUUAAUAGCCAUUAAUACAUUUAAGUGACUUCUUUUACUAUAAUUACUGGAAACAAUAAAUAUAUUAAAUAUGUCAUCGUCUUAGACUAAGGUUUACUUUACCAUGGCAUUUAGUUCUAGCCAACCAAUAGUCACCAGUAGAUAAGGUCUGUUUCUGCUAACAUUUUGCUAUGGUGAUGCAAUGCACAUGUAUGGUUACAGAAUUUGGUGACACUCCAAAACAGGCUGUGGAGGUUAUGCAGGAACUUAUGGUCUCAAAUGCAAGUCCUAAGAACAAUUAACAAUAAAAGCUAAAUUACCCUCACUAAUCUCUUUCUGAAAUUGUUACACCCUUUAUUUUAUGAAAAGAAAAGGAAUAGUAUUUUUUUUCUUGUUUGGUCAAAAAACAAAAAAAAAGGAGAAUAAGGAUAUUAGAAGAGGAUACUUCAUAUGCGACUGAGACUCUGUGUACCUACAUUCAAUAUGAGCUUACUGAACACAGAAAUUGACUACAAUAAGUAGCCGUGUAAAAACUCCUUGUGUUACGCAACCAUGCACGAUCUACAAUUAAUGAUAACAAGACCUGUGGCUUUAGCCUAAACUAGCUAGAUCAUCAAUAGACAGAUACCAUCAAUGUACCAAAACUCAUUAAUAUGGAGUUAAUAGCCAUUAAUUCAUUUAAGUGAAUUCUUUUACCAUAAUUACUGGAAACAGUAAAUACACUAAAUAUUUCAUCCUCCUAGACUAAGGUUUACUUUACCAUGGCAUUUAGUUCUAGCCAACCAAUAGUCACCAGUAGAUAAGGUCUGUUUCUACUAACAUUUUGCUAGGGUGGUGCAAUGUACAUGCAUGGUAAUAGAAUUUGGUAACACUCCAAAACAGGCUGUGGAGGUUAUGCAGGAACUUAUAGUCCCAAAUGCAAGUCCUAAGUACUACUUGUCAACUUGAUAGUGGAAAUACAAAUUUCAAAAAAAAAAAGGAAAGAAAGAUUAAUUAGUUUGACCUCCAAAGGUAAUCAAAAACACAUAUGCUUGACUACAAUGAUUACAAGAAACUUCAUAGGGACAAAAAAGAGGCCCCAUGAACUGAAGAAAUAUUAACCUUUGGCAGGUACUUUUGCUUCUGAGUAGGGGUCCCAUUCCUCACCUACAAGCAGUGACCAGCUUCGGUAAGUCAUGAUCACUAAUGAAACAUGAGUUGCUUAUGAUUGAUUCGAAAGUAAAAAUUUUUACCAACUGAUUAAUACAAAGGUUGGAGUGGGCGCCAUACGAAAGCCCAACAGAACCAGAUGCCCGACUAAUUUCCUCCAUAGCUAUGCAGUGUUCCAGAUAGCCAAGGCCAAGUCCUCCAUAUUCCUCUACACAAGAGCAGAAACUGUUAAAUCAUAAAAUAAAUCCAAUUUGCAGUACAACACAGAUUGAUAUCCAAAAACAACGUAGACACAAAGCUACAUCCGUCAACAUCUGAAUAUCCAAAUUCCUCCUCGAUGCUGGCAAUGACAUCAUAUCACAGAUGAAACUUUUAAGAAAUGCCAAGUACUUGCUUAGCAGUAAUGUGUGCAUGCGUGCAUGAGUGAGAAAGAGAGAGAGAGAGAGCCAACACAAUGUUGCCUGCACCAUGAAGUAAAACUAUUUCAAACCAGUGAGUGGACAUGUUGAAGACAUUCCUAUGAUACUGCAUAGGCCACUUAAAAUCUUGAGGCAACCAAUGCUAUACGCCAUUGGACAAAAGAGAUCUUCAUACUUCCUUCUACAUAACUAAUCCCUACACAUUCAUAUCUUAUUGGUUUACAGCAUGCAAAAUGAAACGAAUUUAGUUCUUUGUUACCUAAUACAGGUGACCCUAGCAUAUUUAUAUCUUCUUCCACCUCUCCCCAAAGAAGAGAACAUUCAAUACCUUACAAUCCAAGAAGAGCAAUCGACAAAUGUUUACUUUUUAAUUUUGCUUUUGAGAAUCCUAGGAGGAAAUUAAAGGAGAACAGGAAUAAUUGUUGAGGUUGGAGGAAUGGCAGCGGUAUUCCAGUGUGUCAUUUGCACAUUGGUGUUGUUACAUUUCUUGUCAGCCAAACACAGAAAAUUAGGAAGCAAAGCUGAAUUAGAGUGUCAAGAGAAAGGUUUACGGUGUACCUGGAACUGUUAUUCCAUGGAGACCAAAAUCUCCCAUUAGUUUCCAUAAGUUAACCUCCUGUAACAAGAGUUCAGAGUCAAAUUUCCAUCACUCAGCCAAUCACCUAUAAAGAUCAAGGGAAACCAUCUCACACGACCUCUGGAAAAUAAUUUGUUGUGUCUAUUUUUGAUGCAUAAGGAGCAAUAUUUUCUUGAGCAAAACGUGCCACACCUUCUUUAAACUGCCAAAAAAAAAUCGAACUAAAUAGUCAGACAGAACUGUUGUAACGGAAAUAGAGGAAGAAACCUCAGGUCUUAACAUACAAAAGUGGAAGAAAGACACAAUCAACUCUAGUAUGUUCUGCUUGCGCCAUUGAGUUUGCCAAGACAAGUUGAACUCAUUAAUUCUAUCUACAGAUAAGCCUCUACAAAUUUUUCUGGCACCAAAGAAAAUAGAAGCUAUGCAUGAACUACAAUCAGAACGAGUACAAAUAAUUACUGGUACAGUAACUUGCAGAACUAUGAACACGUGAAGUGCUUACAAACUUCUGAACUUCAGAAAAAAAGGUUAGUGGAGUAGCAACUAUAACAAGAUAAGGAAACCAAUCAAUUUGACCGUAAUGAGAAAAAUUCUAUCUACAGGAAAAAAGGAAAAAGCAAAACAAGAAAAUGUAAUAAAUAAAAUACAAUAACAGAAAAAGUUAUCCACAAAAGAGUUAUUACAUGACAUUACAUGAAGCACCAAAAGGUUCCCUGCUAAAAUCAACAACCACAUUAAAAGACUGUAUCAUAUACUAUACCAAAACACAAUUGGUAAUUGCCAAACAACUUAAUAACAAGAAAGGAACAGAGAAUACCAAAAUGAGCAAAAGAAAAAGGAGAAGAAGAACAGAAAUACACAACAUGGAAAUGAUUGUAUUUGGUCCGAAAAAGAUUGGUUUUUAUGUUCAAAUUCUAAAAAUUCUGACUCUCUAAAGUAGCCUGACAGAAUUCAAUAAAUUUGAUGUUCUUUAAGAUUUUAAUCCCAGCAAUCAGUCCGAAAGGGAUGGUAGGUUUUUUUUUAUAUGGCCCAAAACUUGUAGGCCCUCCAAUAUUAUGUAAGCCUGCAUUUGAUCCCUUCUGCAAAAUCGAAUCUUUACUGCCCAUACACUUCAAAUCAGACCCAAUAUCGUAUAGAGGGAGUGUUCGGACAAAAACCUGCUUGCGUGAAUCAUCAAAGAAUGAGGAAGUGGAGAAAGCAGCAGCGCUCUGCCUCUGCUUUCUCAGAAAACCUGAGGCCAAGGACCUCACUGCCCACAUUUUCUCAAUCAGAGCAAACCACUAAUAACCCAAAAAAGGAAAAAAAAAAAAGUUUAAGGCUUUUCUGCUGAUUCUAAAAUCUUGGGUAUGGAAGUGAAGUUGGGACUAGAUAUAUUUAGAUGAGAAGAGGAAGAAGUGGCUUUUGAUUCUUUAUGAGAAACGUUUAGCGGCAGAGUGCAGAGAUGAUGGCACAGUAACGAUGGGGAAUGGAUACACCGUACAAUCGCAUUAGAAAGGUCCAACAAACUUAGUGUAUAUCAGUUUAACACGUCAAAAUCACUGAAAGCAUAUAUUGUACUAGGCUGCAUCCCUUUUUUCUUGAAUGUGUAGGCUCCAGCUUGUCGCCUUCAUCCUUUCGGCUGUGUGGCUAAUGUUUAAAAUUAUAUACUAUUAUACCAUUAGCGUGUAUUUAUAGAGAUAAUUUCAGAAACCUCCCCUGAGGUUUCCAAUAAUUUCACCUGGCUCCCCUAAAGUUUCAAAAUUAUACUUAUCUCCCUUAUUCAUUUAAAAUGAUGAUACUAACUUUAAUAUUUUAAUAAAACUUUGUUGUUGCCAUGCUUAUACAAAUGAUGGAUUUUAUAAUUUUGUUUUCCUUUUUUUUUCUUAUUCAUUUCUCUUAUAUUUCAUUAAAAGUAUAGAAGAUUUAUCAAUGUUGUCCUUAAUAUCUAUCCAAAUCAAACAUUAAACUAGUUUUUUUUUAAUAACUUUUAACAUCAUCUAUUUUUUUGUAACUCUUUUUUGUAUUAAAAUCAAGAAUAAAUCAGCAAUAAUUAAAAACAAAUGGCCCAAAAUCAGUACCAAACUAUGGUAGUUCUAUCACUAAACCAGUCCAUAAACUUUUAUUAAAAAAAAAGUAGUCCACAAACUUUUAAAAAAUAAUAAUAAUACUUUAUUCUCUAUUGUAAAAGAAUCUAUAUCCCCCAAUAAAGUUCUAUAAAAAAUAGCCUAUUAUAGCAAAAAAUUUAUUGUUAUAGUUGAUUAUUAAAUAACAAAUAUUCAUAUGAAGAACUUAACCCUCUUUUUUUAAUAAUUGCACUAAAUUACUUUAUAAUUGUUUAGAAGAACAAAUUAAACUUUAUAAGAUAAGGGCAUUUUAGAAUAUUCAUUAAAUUUUUCACUCUAUUUUAAGAUUUGUUACCAAAAUGUCAAAUUAAGGGAGGUAAGUAUAAUUUCUAAACCAUCAAGAGUAAAUUUAAUAAGUAAUAAAUUUAGUCGUUUUAUAACUGGAUAAUACUAUUGAGUGCAAGAGUAACUUCAAAUGCUGCUUUAACAUUAUAGAAAUGCAAAAGUUCCAAUAGAUUGGUUGCAAUAAGAUAGAAAUUAAGAGCAAAGAUUUUGUAAUAAAGAGACACCAAAAUUUUGCCAUAAAUAGAGAAACUAGAAUGAAAAUUUUAGGAGAUCAGCUGUAGUAAGGACAAAUUUUAAAUGUACAUAUUUUUGGAUUGGUUGGUUGUGGCAAAGCAAUGAUAGAAGCCUUCUUAUCUUUCGUUCACAAUCCCGAACCUUCCUCUUUGUAUUUUAUUGUCUGGAGGCCAAGCCCUCAAUCGAGAUAAGCCCCGAACAAAUUUAUCGGAUGUCCCCGAAGGGACCCGAACAAAUUUAUCAUUUUCGAUGCUUACGCCUUUGCCAUAUGCCACAUCAUUGACACUUGGGACGUAAAUGCUUCUAAAUAUUUUUUUUUUUGAGUUGUUUUUGUUGUUGGACAUACAUAUUUAUGUAGAUUUUACCUUUGGUAGGAGUAAUGACAUUCUUUCAGUUCAAACUCGCAAUGAAUUUUAGAGUUUUGGUUAGCAUGAUUCACAAGAAAAUUUUUAAAAUAUUAUUUAGAUUGCAUCAUAAAUAUAAUUUUUAAAUAUUUUUUUAUCUCACAUAUGUCAUAUAUCGCAUUACGAAAAAUAUUACAAUAUUAUUUUAAAUAAUAUUUUACAAGUAAUCUCUUAUACAUCACGAUGUUCUUCUCUUUAGCCUCAAAUAUUAAUAAAUUGACUUGUGGGAAAGCAUAAAAGUUGCACUCUUCUCAUCCUAUCUCUAAAACUUUUAGGCUUCGUUUGAGAGUUUGGAUUUCAAACAUUUUAGAAAAGGGAAAGAAGAGUAAGUCAGUGUAUUUUUUUUUUUCGUAUUAGCUUUCAAUGAGAAAGAAAGGAAAAAUGAGGGGAUUCAGAAGGAUGAAGUGCAAAGAUAUAUAAGCCAAAAUUUUUCUGUCCAAAUGGGCUGGAAAUGGAAGGAAACUUUAAGGAAGCUUGUUAAUUUUUUUUCAAAUGUCUAUUUUAUCCUUAAAAAGUUCUUGAAAAAAAAUUUAAUAACUUACGUAUUCAAAAUCAUUUGACUUAUUCUUAAUACUUGCAAACAAUAUAAUAGUCCCUUCUAUUUGUUUCUCUUCUAAGGCCUUGUUUGGAAAGCAAUUAAUUAAAAAAAAUUACAUUUUUCGUGAAUGUAUUUUUCAAUCACCUUUUCACUUCAUAUACAUUACGUCAUUAUAAUAUGUUUUUUCUUCUUCUUUUUUUUUUUUAUUUAUGUCAUAAACUCCCAAACUAAACCUUAAGGUCCACACCCAAACAAUCCAACUUCUACUAUGCUUUUGCCUACACCAAAUGGUGGGAAAUUUUAGCCAACAACUAUUUAAUCUGUUGAUCACCACAAAAACUUUAAAUCUUGAUUGUGAGUAGGAGAUCAAGAGUUUAAACAUUACCUCCCACCAACCACUAUUUGUUGCUUGUCACUUUCAAUGGCUUUCUCCAAUGGUGUUUCUCGUCGAAUGGUGGGAAUUUUUAAUUUGUAGAGUCUAUCAUGCUGCAUUGUUGUUAGAUGGGAAUGUUUAGAAAUUGCAAGGUGUUUUUUUUUCCUUACCCUUUUUUUUUAUCAAAAGAGGGAUGAGAUUUAAAAAGUGGGGGAGGAAAGGAGAAUUAGAACUCGACAUUUUUAAAUUCCAAAAUUUUAAUCUUAACUAUUAGACUAAAAUAUCCUCGACAAAUUGUGAGGUGAUUUAUGAUGCUAAGUAUGAAUAUUUGGAAGAAUAUUGAAAUUAGGAUUAAUUAUUCGGACAAGUUUUAUGUCUUUGGCUUAGUUUUUUUUUUUUAUUGUAAGAGAGAAUUAAUUUUUUUACGACAAUUUGAAUACUUGGCAUCUAUAAAUUAGUAUCCAAACUCAUCAUUUUGUAUAAAUUUACUUUCUUUCUUUUAGCUCAAGUCCUGCUCCUCCCAGCUAAAUUGGGUGCAUAACCUUUCUGCUCUCUUAGCAAAAACUGCUCUGGCAUUAACAAUUACUGAUCUGGCACCGUUAUCAACUUCGAGCUUAAUUUAAUUAAGGGAUAAUAUCAGAAACCUCUCUUGAGAUUUCUUCAAAUAUCACUUAGCUCCCCUCACAUUUUAGAAAUCUCUCUUACCACCCCUCAAGUGAUAAUGGGUCAGCAGUCAACAAGAAAUCUAAUCAAUUGCCAAUAAUACCCUUUGCUCUACUGUUAACUUAUUCAGCUGAUAAAAUGCAAAAAAUGUCUGAGAAAGCAAGCAUGGAACUGUAUAAAGCCCGGGAAAGCUUUGCCGCCUAGAAACAUGGGUUCCGUACGAGUUGCAUGGCGUCAUUUUGCUGUGAUAAGACGUCUAAUAGCCUGGAAAAUGAAGAGGAAUGAAAUACUACUUAUAACUGUGAUUGUUAUUUGAUAGUAUCUUUCUGGAAAUCUCUUGCUGGACAUUGCAGAGGAGGAGAAAUAUUGCAAAGUAUUGAAUUGCAUGCAUUCGGUUGGAGUGAAAGUGAUUUUGUCAAAACUGAGAUGCACAACAGGUAAAAAUCUUCCAUUGCUAGUUGAUAUGAUCAACAUGUUGAAUGAGAACUUGUCGAGUGUCAUGAAGUGUUAUGAGUUUAACAUUGCCGAAAUGAUCUCUGUUUUGUUGUGUUUUUCUGUUUUGUUGGACUUGCUGUGGCUGAGUUCCAUUGGUAGUUGAUAUGAUGAACAUGUAACAGGAGAAAAUGCAGGUGUCAUGAACUCUUGGUCAUGAUUUGCCUAUAAUGUCUUUGUUUUCCUUGUGUUUUUGUGAUUUAUUGGACUUGAUGACCGAGUUUAACAUCCAACUAGAGUGAAUGCAACAGUGGACCUUAUAUUAAGUAUUGCAUAUGAUGGAUGCUGUAAAGAUUGUCUGAUUUGAUGAACUAUGCUUGACCUUUAUUUUAUUAGUUCAAAAAAGUUGAUGAAUAUUGAGUUGAAGCUAAGCUGUAAUACAUAACAACAACUUAACUUUGUAGCUUAACUUUGUAGCUUAGCUUUGCAACUUGAGUUUGACUUUGAUUAAGCAUGCGUGUAUUAUACUAUGUCCCUUGUGAGAAUAUGUGAAAUUAGAGCUACUGAUUCAAACUUUUCUUGCAAACACACUGAUAUGUAGGAUGGGAAGAAUUAUUGCACAUGAUAUUCUAGUCCAUUACAUGGGAAACACUGUCAGAAUUCCUAAUGUUGAUCCAAAGAACUACCAAUAUAUUGACCUUCUUGGUGAUGUUACUGAUAAAGCAAUGAAUGAUUUGCCUGGAAAUUUGAAUAUGCUUGUGCAUAUGAAAUGUGCGAUUCCAAGGACAACAAGUUUUAUGGACAUCAGUAGUGACAAAUCAGUCCUUGAUAUGUUCAAACUUCAUGAAAAUGAUCUUGUUAUAAACCUGUACUUGUUGCACCUGAAUAUUAUUCCUACUACAGAGGAGAAUAUGGUAGAGGACAGGAAUAACCAACUUAUUGUGGCACAGAAAGACAUAGGAAUUGAAAAUGCUCCUAUUCCUGUAGUUGACAGUGAGGGUGAUGAUGAGAUUUAUGCUUCUAGUUCUGAUGACUCUUGGCAGGAUGACAUAGAUAGUGAUUUGAAAGAUGUCAUAGCUGAAGAUAGGGCUUUAAUUUCUAGUAGUGAUAAGGACGAAAAUGACUUGUCUGAUUAUGAGGAGAUUGAGGAUGCACAAGUUGUGCCUGAUUCAGAAUCUGACCAAGAGACUGAUCCUAUGAGAGCAAUUAUGCAGUCAAAAAUGUGGACUUACAAUCUAAGAGAGGACAUUGAGUUUGAGAAAGGGAUGCUAUUUACCAAUGUGGAUGCAUUUAGAGCAGUAUUGAAGGACUAUGCUAUUCAGAAAGGAUUUUCAUUGGUGAGGUUGAAAAAUGAAAAGAGCAGGUGCACUGCCAAGUAUGGUACUGAGGAGUGUAACUAGAGGAUUCAUGCAUCCCCGGUUGGUGAUACAACCACAUUCAUGAUUAAGACAUAUACACCUGAGCAUACGUGUGUCAUAAAUAGGAAAAAUUCAGAAGCUACAUCAGAUUGGAUUGUAAAGAAGUUAAUUUCUGUUAUGAGAGAUCACCCAGAAUUGACAAGCAAGGGAGUAAAGGCUAAAAUGCAGAAGCAUGGAGUCUUGCCAAGUAGAAUGCAAAUUUACAGAGCAAAAAAAAAAAGCCUUAGAACAGAUAGAAGGAUCACACAGUGAGGCCUAUGAAAAAUUACCAAAAUAUGCUGAACUGUUGAGGAUGAACAACCCAGGAAGCAUCAUGAAGAUUCACUAUGAUAGGCCAAACGUUCUGGUAGAGCCUAAAUUUCUGAGAUUGUUUAUCUCUUUUAAGGCACAAAGAGAUGGUUUCCUGGCAGGUUGCAGGCCAUUUAUUGGCUUUGAUGGCUGCCAUUUGAAAAGUGCAUUUGGGGGCAUUCUGUUAACUGUUGUUGCUCUUGACGGGAACAAUAGUUUGUUUCUAUUAGCUUUUGUUGUGGUAGAGUGUGAAAACAAGGAAGCCUGGAGUUAGUUUUUUUACUAUUUCCAGGAAUUCUUUGGACCAUUUCCAGCCAAUAUUCCACUCACCUUCAUGAGUGAUAGACAGAAGGUAUGUUUCUUCAUUUCUGUGAUUAAGCAUGUUUCAGAUUUCCUCCAUGACUGUUAUAGUGGCUGAAUCAAGUGCCUGAAAGAAAGCUACUGAAACUUCUGUAUAGGGACUGAUGACCUUGUACUUAUAUUUUUAGGGACUCAACCUUGCUUAUGAGGAACAAGUGUCUGAAGCUGCUGCACGAUAUUGCUGUUGGCACAUCUACUGCAACUUCAAAGUCAAAUUUCCAGGAUUGCUGCUGAGGAGAUAUUUUUGGCAAGCAGCUAAAAGUUAUGAUUUGAUAGGACACAAUGAGGCUAUGGAAAGAAUAAAAAAUAUUAAUAUAGAUGCUUGGAGAUACUUAGCAAACAUUCCUAAGUGUAAUUGGGCAAGGCAUGCAUUUUCUGUUGAAAUUAAGUGUGAUCAUGUCACCAAUAAUUUCACAGAAUCUUUUAAUGCAUGGGUUGGAGAAUUGAAAGGAAAGAAUAUACUUGCUCUGGCUGAAGGAUUGAGGCAAAAAUUCAUGAAAAAAUUGCAUAAGAGGUAUCAAAAAGGCUGCACAUGGACAUCUAGUGUUACUCCACAUGUGAUUGGCAAGUUGAAGGAUAUUGCAGCUGAAUCAAGAAGGUGUUUACUGAUAAUGACAAGUGACAACACGUUUGAAGUAGCAGACUAUGAUAAGUCCUAUAUAGUCAAGUUAACUGAGAGGACAUGUGAAUGCGGGGCUUUCCAGUUGACAGGCAUUCCUUACAAGCAUGCUGCACUAGGAGCUCUUUAUAGAAGGGAGAAACUGGAAAGCUACUGUGAUGCAGCUUUUUCCAUUGAUCAAUACUUGAAAACGUAUGCAUUCAUGAUCAAUCUAAUUCCACAUAUGAAUAGGUGGCCUCCAAUGAAAGAUGUGACACCAGUAGUAGUUUUGCUAUCACUACUUAGAAGAAGAGCUGGUAGACCAAGAAGAAAUAGGAGAAGAGCAGCUGAUGAAGGAGCUCCUGCACCUCAACACAAGAGAUCAAUCAGUUUCAGGUGCUCAAAGUGUGGCAGAUUUGGACAUAAUAGGAGAACUUGUCAAGGAGCUCCUGUUGCUGAAAAAAGAGGGAGCAGUACUUAUACAAAUUAGGCAGCAAGUCGAAGAGGAAAACCAGGAAGAGGCAUUGCUAAUGCUGGAUUAGCAGGAUCUGUUCUAUGGGUAAUUGAAGCAAUGUCAAAUUAUAGUAUCUGAUUGUGUAUUAAUUCUGUUCAAAUGAGCUUAGCUUUGUGAUCUGAUUUGUAAGGAACAUGCACAAGGAAAUGUCCCAGUCAUUGUAUCAAGUCAAGGCAGUAAUGGAAGCACUCAAAAUCGUGUUGAUGGAGCUCAUGUUCAACUUAAUCAUUCUGCCUGCACUAGUACUAAUACCAGAAAGGUAUAGUUAAUCAUUCUGCCUGUUAACUAUUCUAACUGUCGACCAGCCAUUAGUUUAAUAAGAUUUGUUGCAUGGCUUCAGAGAUGAGGGCCAAAUGCAGGAACUGAGAGGACUACUGUUGCUAACAACAAUAAGAGAGCCAGACCUUCCAUUGCUGUUGGCUCAGAACAAACUCCAGCAGUCACUGCAUCUUCAAUAUCCACUUAUGUUGGUAUGGGAUCUCACAUUGACAAUAGCAGCACCAGUAUGAGGUUCUAGUUAGUGCUAGUAUUAUGAGUUUUGCUUUGGGAAGCUAAUCUGGUACAUUUGUAUACGUAGCAAUCCUCAUCAUCUAGAAUGAUGUUCUUAGAUAAUGUUGCAAAUGAGAUUCUUGUUGAUUGCUACAUAUUUUUGUUUAGUUGUAUAUGUAACGUAUGCCAAGUGGUUAAUUGCAUUCCCAGUCCUAGUGAACAACUUCAAAGACUGAUGUUUUGGUACUUAUGUUUGGGAAUUGCAAUUUACUCUUGCCAAGUAUGCUCUGCUGCUUCCCAGUCCCAUGCUCUUGCAAAAAUGUCAUGCUGUGUUUUUUCGUUUAACUUUAUGAUUCUGAUUCCUUAGGAUUAUGUGUGAAACUAGUACUGUUGUUUUCCAAUGAACUUAGCUGGGGAGUAUUGUUGUACCUAAGGAACUACACCUGAUAGCUUAAUGCAUUUUCUGUCUAGCUUAACUUUGGUAUAACACUGAUAGGCAACAAAUAUGGGGGCAUACGUAUGAAGUAAAACAUUCCUUCAACUCUUUUUCACAUAGCUUAACACCAUGUCCAAGUUACACAUGCCUUCUGGUUCUUUCAUGCAUGACCAGUAAGGGCCAAACAGCUUGGAACACAUCUACUAUUACUGGAACAAGAAACUGUGAUUGCUUUAACAAUUUGAAUGAAAAGAUAAAUUGCUAAGAGUACAAGAUUGAUGAUGAACAAGAAAGUGAUGCAUGCAUUCUGUUGAGGCACAAAGUUACAUUCCUGAUUUGCUUUCCUCAAUGGAAGCACUGCAGAAUCAACACCAUUUCUUGUACGCUGCACUUCUUCACCUUCAUUUCUUUGCCUCUGCAACUCUUCACCUUCAUUUCCUUCAUACCACUGGAAGUAGUUGCACUUUGAACAACUAAAAUAUAGCUUAUCCGGAUUUCUUUCACUCUCUGAGAUUCGUAAUGUAGCCUUCCGGUUGCAUUUGCAAUACCGGUUCUUCAUGCUUAAUGAUGAAGGUGAAUUGUAUGACUGAUCUUGGAAGGAUGAACUAGCCAUUUCUUUGCUUGCUUUCCUCUUUCAAUUUUGCAGCUACUUCAUGCGGUUCCCUCACCUUUUAAUACCACUGGAAGCACUCAAAUUAGCCGUUACAUGUCCAACGGCCAUGCAACAGUGCUCAUACCAGCAAAUUUAUCUCCAAUUCACAUUCCACCUACUCUAACUUUCUUAAUCACAGGAUUCAGUCAAAUUAAGAGUAUGAAGGGAAUUAAAAUACUCUCCCUCCUCCAAAACCAAUAUUCUAAUGUUACUUUAGACACCAGGGGCUGACAUUGUUAAGAAAAUGUCAAUUCAAAGGGUGGUAAGAGAGAUUUCUAAAAUGUGAAGGGAGCUAAGUGAUAUUUGAAGAAACCUCAGGGGAGGUUUCUGAUAUUAUCCCUUUAAUUAAUUUAAUUUUUAGAAUCCUAAGCCAUCUUCUUAAACCCUCCACCUAUGGUCUUCUCAGCAAUGGCGGAAUAGAGCCUUUUUAAAAAGUAGCAGCAGUAGUAGCUACUACUACUUUGUUAAAUGUGAACAAAUUUCAGAUUUUCACAUGUGACGUAGUAGAAUAUAUUGACUGGGAAAGGAUAACCGAAGCCUAAAAGUGUUCCCCGAUGGAUGGAGGACGACGAAGAGAGCCGCCACCGGCGUCGAAGUUUACGGUGUAUCAAAAUCCAGCCCUUUCAGCUGCCCUAACCUCCAAAAGCCGCCGACCUUCUGUAUCCACUUUCUUAGUCAUCCUUGCUCUCUCUUCCGCCUCUGCCGUCGCUCUCUUCACCGCCACUUGCCGGUACAUUACUCUACAUGCUGCAAUUUGUCUUAUUCAUACUGAGAUUGACUUUGGAUGGCUCCUACUUACUUAGGGUUUCCACUAAAUUACUCUUAUCUGCAUUUGUGGUUUGGACAUGAAAUUUCUUCACUUUUUUGUUUUCUUUCUUUCUUGGCCAAUUUAAUGUUCAAAACUGAUGAAAGGAUUCGCAUUUUAGGAGGAAAGGAAAGCACAAAUUAGUUUUGCACUAAUGCGUUUGAAAAUCGAAAUGUAACAGGCUGCAUAAUUUUGGGAGUUUAGUUGUUUUGGCGAAAAUGUGGUGCUGUUAGAUAAUUUUGGUUGCAAAAGUUAAAAAGAACUUGGUCUUUAUGAUUUUUCAAUUUGUUAUGAAAUAGAACUGUAGUUCAAGAGUCAAUUCGUGAACUUAGCUCGUUCGAUUCUAAUUUGACAUGGUUAACUGCACUUGUUAUUGAACAUUUUGAAGGGAGAAGGGAUUGGCUGACAUUUUGAGGCUUCGAAAUGUUCCACAAGAUGUUUCAUGUGAGUAGUUUAGCUUGAAUAUCUUCCUUGAGAAUUAUAUCCAUGAGAUUAAGCAAACUUAUGGUAUUUAUUUAUUUAUUUAUUUUGAUGUUCAGCUGUUUUUGUUAAAGUUAUACAAACCAUCACAAGCUUACUUCUGUUUGGCACCGUGGUUGCCUUUAUCAAAGCCAUUUCGAUAUGGAAAGUGAGGGAUGCUGCAGAGGUAACAAUUUUGUCGUCUUCCAAGGGAAAAGAGGAGCAGUUGCAUCUUACUACUCGGCAACUAGGUCUUAUAGGAGUGAAGCCUAAAGUUGAACCAGCUGUAGUGGAUUCUUCUAAGAAACCUCCUAAGUCUAAAAAUGCAUCUGCAUCUCCUUCGCAAACUCUUGUCCCACUUCAUCAGCCAAUUCCUGCUCCAGGUUAUUCUUCCAGAGUAAGGGGUGACAAGUCAAGCAUGAGUAGUGGCAACAAAAUGCAUGCUUUCAGCAGCUCAUCAAAAUCGCCAUCUUCCCCAUCUUUGUACCUUGUCCCAACAGCCUCUUCCCAGUCACCUGUUCAGAAUUCACCGGGUUCAGAUAAACUUCUAGCUAAUCCUUGGUCUAACAAACGAGCCACUUCUCAUAAGGAGAUAACAACAGAACAAGAGCUUGAAAAGUUUUUGGCAGAUGUUGAUGAGAAAAUCUCUGAAUCAGCGAGUAAAUUGGCUACUCCUCCUGCAACCAUCAAUGGGUUCAGCAGAGCCAGUCCUACUCCAAUUGUCAGUUCGGCUAAUACUUCUGGAACUACCAGGAGCACGCCUUUGAGGCCUGUUAGAAUGUCACCCGGAUCCCAGAAAUUCUCUACCCCGCCAAAGAAAGGGGAGAGCGAUCUACCACCUCCUAUGUCUAUAGAAGAGUCCAUUGAAGCUUUUGAGCAUCUGGGCAUCUAUCCAGAGAUUGAGCAGUGGCGUGAUCGCCUCAGACAGUGGUUUUCUUCAGUUUUGUUGAAUCCUUUACUUACCAAGAUUGAUUCCAGUCAUGUAAGGGUAAGUUAUUAUAGCGUGGCAAAUACUCUGAUUUAUAUUUGUUAAGAUAAGGAUUUAUUUUACCUUAGUGCUUUGAAAUUCUUAGGUUGUCUAUUGACACUAAAUGCUUGUGGAAGGAAAAUUAGGUUGCGCAUGCCUUUAAGUAUAUCAUUCCCUGUCAUGUUUUCUUUUUAUAUCUUAACAAUAACAAGCGCUAUUGCGGAUGGGUAGAUUGAUGUACCAUGUUGUGAUUUGGCCAAUUUACAUGGUAUAAGCUUGUCUCCUUCUGCUACAAUCACGUGAUUGACCAAGAGAUGUGGAGGAGGCAGAAUAUGUGAUAUGGCCAUACAGAUCUUUCCAUGCUUGUCGUUUUCCACUUCUAUUUUGGAAGCAUUCUAAACUUCUCAUACUUAUCUAGGUUAUGCAAGCAGCUGCUAAGCUUGGUGUCACAAUUACAAUCACUCAAGUUGGAAGUGAUACACCAAGUAAAGGAACUAUGGCCACCUUGUCUCCAGUUAAGAGAACUAAUGAAUGGCAGCCAGCAAUUGCUGUUGAUGAGGAUGGUCUUCUUCAGCAGUUACGUACCACUCUUGUCCAAGCACUAGAUGCUUGCUUGCGUAAGUUUCUUCGUCCCCUAAUUUUCUCUAACAAAUCUUGUUAAGGAAGUGCAGUAUUCUUGUAUGGGCCUCCUCAAAGGAUCUCAUGUGGACAUUUUUGUCCUUGUAGCAAAAUUACCUCUUGGCAAUAUCCAACGGUCACCACAGCAGAACUCAUUAGUCCCUAUCCUACAAGAGUGCAUAGAUGCAAUCACAGAACAUCAAAGACUUCAUACGUUGAUGAAAGGAGAAUGGGGUAAGGGUUUGCUACCACAAAGCAGUGUCCGGGCAGAUUAUACAGUUCAAAGAAUUCGAGGUAAUUUUUUCCUUGUGAUGAUUGUUCACUGUAGGUAAACAUCUGUAGAUAUGACUGCUCUGUUCAAGGAGUAACUGACUUGUUUUGGAUAUACUUAUUUCUGAGUUACUAAGCAUGUUGCAGAGCUUGCUGAAGGAACCUGUGUGAAGAACUACGAGUAUCUGGGAAAUGGAGAAGUCUAUGACAAAGUAAACAAGAAGUGGACCCUCGAGCUUCCUACAGAUUCUCAUUUACUUCUGUAUCUAUUCUGUGCUUUCCUGGAACAUCCAAGUUGGAUGCUGCAUGUUGAUCCCACAUCUUAUGCUGGAUCACAGUCGAGCAAGAACCCUUUGUUUUUAGGUGUUCUGCCUCCAAAAGAUAGAUUUCCUGAAAAGUACAUAGCUGUUGUAUCAUGUUUUCCUUCCAUACUGCAUCCAGGAGCUUGUAUACUGGCUGUUGGGAAGCAAAGCCCUCCGAUAUUUGUGUUGUACUGGGAUAAAAAGCCUCAGUUCUCUCUCCAGGCAAGUAAAUAGAAUAUAGGAUAAACUUUUUUUUUAAUGAGUAACUGGCAUAGAACAACAAACAAAUGGGAAAAAUAUGCUGGAAAUAUGAUGCAUAUAAUGUCAUGCGUGUGUCUUGUUCUCCCCUAUUAGUUCCUCGGUCUAGGCAUCUUGAAUACACUCCAGUGUUCACUAUAGUCAGUCAUUUUCUGCUCCCAGGACUGAGGGAUGUUGAAAAAUUGAAAACCAUUGAGUUCGAGGUUAAGAGUCUUAUUAUUUUUGCUUUAGGAUAUUGGCCUCGAAAUAGUGAUGUUGAUUAAGCAGAAAGCAUUAGAUUGUGAUGUUAAGGUAUAGAUGAUUUCCUGUCAGAGAACUUGUCAUUGUCAAAUUUAAUGUAGUUUAGAUCAUCAAAAUGGCAGUCAAUUUUGGCUCGUGAAUAGGAUUUUGGCAUUCUGGUUUUAAAAUGUGGAAAUAACAAGAAAAAGUGUUAUCAGAGACUCCUUUUAACAACAUUUCAUAUUUAGUUUAAUCUUCAAUUAUUGACCAAAUUAAAUAAUGUUUUAAAGAUUAAAUGCUAGCCUUGCUGGAAAGUUGAUGAAAUCUUUCCGCUAACACAUGUUGCCUACAUUCUUUGUGAGUUGGACCUUUGUACUCUAAAACCACUUGUUAAGUCUGCAUAUUUUUGAGUUUGUUCUUAGGCUGCAGUACCACUUUUGAGGACCAAUUAGUCACUGCUUCAAGAGGAUUAUAUCUCCUGUUUAGCUUCCUUGCUCUUUUCUACUGGAAUAGAGUAAUAAAAGCAAAUCUCCUCUUUCUUAAAUCCCACCCCUCCCUUGUUUAUUUAAAAAAAAAAAAAGAAGGAAAUUUUAUAAAAGUAUUCACACGGGUCUCAUAUUAUUAUUUGUGGUUAUCAAUCGAUGUUUCUGGAAGCAUGUACAGUAUCUUGCUGGACUUUUGACCCUGUUUUUUUCUACCUGCAGGGAAGAACAGCACUAUGGGACUCCAUCUUACUUUUGUGCUACAAGAUUAAGACUAGUUACGGAGACAUAGUGCGGGGGAUGCAUCUUGGUUCAUCAGCCUUGCGCAUUCUGCCUGUUUUUCAUGCUGAAACUGUAAACUGAGAAACUUCAUAGUCAUUCAUGUUUGUUCGGCAGGAGUACAAGGGUGAACUCUGAAGAAUGGAUCCCAUUGAUUGUUACCUAUGCAGAUAGCAUUUGGUCAAAGGAACCUAAUUUUGACGAUCAUGACUUUUGUCAGAUUAACAUGCUAGGAAAUUUGAUAACAUGAGAUAGAACAAGUUCCCAGUGCGUUGAAGCUUUGUUGUAAAUUUAGAUGAGAAUUUCUGUAGGUUACUACUUGAUAACAUUAUUCUUUUCCAUGUAUGCUUUUGGGAACUUCUGUGACUUGACGGCGGAAUUUUCUGUUGCAUGAUUGAUGCCCAGUCAAUUUCCCGGUCGCUGGCUCGUCAUUUAUUCAAAAACUAUUGGAUAUAAGAUUACUGUUCAUGAGUCUCCAGGAACACCGAGAAUCAGGUGUAAGAUAAUAAGAUGCCAGCACAUUCUACUACUGAGAUGGCCUAACGGUUUUCCUGAAAGGGUUUUGUUACCACCAUGUUUAGUAAAUUUUACCGACGACGUUCCCCAUACAUAUCAAAACCACCAUGUUCAUCUUGUGAAUUUCAAAGAUGAUCUGCCUUGAUUAUUGGAAGAUUUGGCAAUUUCAAAGACUCUUUCUUCCACGCGUCUUUUAAGGAGAGUUUGUAAGAUUGGCUAUUUGAAGAUAAUUACAAAUAGUUUUGCAUAUUUUCCUCCUGUAUGCAAAUAAUAUGACCAACGAAAGCAUAACUAAAUAUUGUUUGAAAGCACAUAAUCAAAAGUUAGGCACACACGGUUGUUAGCACUCAUAAAUCAAAACAGCACAAAACCUUGAUUAUAUUUUUGGCGUAAAUCAGCUUCAAAUUUUGAUAUCCGUAAGAUAAAGAAAAUAUCAUUCGCAAAGACAGGACUGGUAAUCUUAGAGAUGCGUUGAGAUAUUAUUGACUCUUCUUGGAACAUCCCCCUCUAACAGCAUCAAAUUUUUUUUUUUUUUUUUUAAAAAAAAAGGCCAAACGUUAGGCUUGUCACUUUUUAUUACGUUAUUAUAUUCGCAACCUUUUCUGGCCGACUCUUAGAACUCGCACAUGCUUAUGCUAUAAGCAUCUUUAGGCAGACAUGCCACUGCUACUAGUACUAGCUCCCGUGCUGAGAGAUUCAUGACUCAUGUUACCUCCAUCGUUAACAUCCUCAAUUUCCUUCAUUUGGUUUGAAUUUUUACUUCAACUUCAUCAGUUCUUGUUUCUUAUCAUAUACUUCAUACCUUGUACCCGUAACUUUUGGAAAUUAAACGCUCUUUUUUUUUCAUAUUAUUAUUAUUGUUAAAGAAACUUAACAUUCAUGAAAAGUCAUAAAAAAAUCAUAAGAAACAUAAAUAGACAUGUAAGAACAACAAACCUCAAAAAAGGUCUACACAUUUCGUUCUAAUUGAAAACAAAAAUUUUGAAAAAUGUACAACCUGAUUUCGUCCCCCCAAGUAUUAAAGCGGAGAUGUUCCGCAAGAAGUUUUGCGCUCUGUCUACAACCAUGUCAGAAGCUUCCUGAUGUGUGAAACUGCAACCACAACGUACAGAUAUAGCUGAUCAUAGCAACAAGGAUGAGGAUCAAAUUCACCCAAUAUACUGGAAACUCCCUUGAUUUUGCCAGAACAAGGCAUCCAAAUUCAGAGUUGAAACACUACAGAGGUUAGGUGCUGGGACACCGUAAACGAGAAGAAGAGCACUCGUAACAAGUACUUGGACAUUAAAUACAAGAAAGACCAAAAUUUGAUGAACUCCAACUAUACUAUUUCUAUUAAUUACUAAUGUUUAGGUGAGGUCAGGCAUUUACAAGGUAUUUUUUCAAUAAAAGAGAGAAAAAGAGGAUAAUCUUGUUGCUAAAAAUUGCUCCCCACUACGUCCAUGGUAAUUUACCCGUCGGAUUCUUCCUCCAUUUUGGCACCCUAAUGUCCCACAUAGGCAUUUACAUUAUAAGCGAGAAACCUAGUAACUAAUCAUCAGCAUAAAAAAGAGAAGGAAUGUUUACUGGACCUGCUGGAAGAAGAAUGACCUGAUCAGAAACACUUGAUGCAUCAAAAAACUGUAAAACUGGACAAGAAUGGAAAAUGAGCAGCAAACUACUAACCAAUUCAAAAGAGAACUCCCUCUCGAGCAGCAAAACUUUUAAAGCAGGGGGAUGUUUCAACUAAAUUCUUCCACUGUGUGUCUACAAAUAUCUCAGAUGACUUUCUGACAGGAGAAAUUGCAGCCUCUACAUUGUACAAAUACAGGUGAACUUAGGAACAAGAAUGAAGACCGAUUUUCCCCUUAUAUGUCUUCCACAAGCAAAAGGAUGUCUCGAAGCAUUCUUGAUAUUUUUGCAAGAAAAAAAAUCCCAACUAAAUACAACUCCUUUAUUCAGAGUCUGAAUCAAUAGAUAGUAAUAACCUCGGCCUCACAGAACGCCGCUGUCGAGGAAAUGUAAAAGGGCUAUCUGAUCUUUCCCUACUCGCCUUUGAAGAUCUGCCAUCAGACAUGCCAAGAAGCAAAGAAGCUACAGAAAAAGGUAGAAACGAAGUCCUAGUGUUAAGCAAAUAAGUAAAAGAUUAGAAAGCAUGAAGCUACUAAAAACAUCAAGCAAAAGGAAGAUAACUUAACAGUGUUAUCCCAGAGGGCACAUGUUGACAUUAAAGUUUUUCUCAAGUCCUCUAAUUGCAAAUAAGGUGGAAAGGAAAAGUUGCUUGUGUGCAACCAAGGGAACAGGUCAAAAGCUCAUGUAAUCCCUCAAUCACACUUUUUUGAUAUGGGAUAUGAUAGCUUUACUGCUUUGAUGGUUAACAUUUGACAAAUGUAGCAUCAAAAAGGAAAACCCGGCAUUUGCUUUUUCUUUUCUCAAGGAUGCAUUUCCUUCAGAUUCCAACCAUCCCAAAGUCAUGCUCCUUGAAAAUAGAUGCUUUAAUGUAAAAUUAAAAUUAAAGAAAAGGGAAUUUGUUCAAAAGAGGCAAGAUUAUAGCAUUUAGGAUGAUGGCUUUGUCUUCUGGAUAAUAUACCAAUGUACACAAAGAGUUUGCUUCUUGGUCUCUGCCCAAAUCUCACCACAUACGCUACACAAACUACUAGUCCACAUGAAUCCUCGUCUUGCUAGCGAACCAGGAUUUAUUAGAGAUCUUCUAAAAGUAAACAGAGUUAAGAGUAGGCAGGUGUCAUGUAAGUAGAUUCAUAGAAGAUAUAAGAAGGUAGUGAUUGAAAGAACGGAUAUAAACCUUCAGCCAGUGAGUCCAAAGCACCUUCCUUCGACUGUAGUGGCUGCCCAGAAUUUAACCCAUUUGCAGCAGCAGAUUCGCCAGUGCUCCCUCCACCACCAUCCCCAAGCCUGAGAGAAAUCCAAUCCUCAGUAUGAAUACCAUUUGACACAUCUGGUUGAUCUCUCAAUUCAGCCUGCACUGAUGCAUCUGUUGGCCUCGUAGGAAGAAAUAUUUGAAGUGAAGGGUCAUUACCACCAAAUACCAAGGGAUUAUCCACCAAACCAUCGUUGAUAUUACCAUGAACAGGUUCAAUGAAGGACUCCGGAACAAGAGCAGCAGAUCCCAUGGCAGUCUCUGCACCCAGCGUGUAGCCAUUAAUUGAUGAGGUACAGUUAAUGGAACCCUGCUGCAUAUCAACAAAAGCAUCAGAGACAUCUCCAUCCGAACCAAAUAACUGAAAACCAGGGCCCGCCUGACUGCCAGAAGGCAACGAAGACCACAUAUGCAUCAAAUCAUCAUCAUGGCCAUUCAGAAAACUGGGGCAUGAACCUGCACCUACGUUAAGCGUAGGAUCUUCAGGAUAGGAAUCAGGAAUUCCUUGUGCAGCAACUGAAUAUGAAACUUCACCACCAUCAGUAUGGUGGUUCUUAUAGAUAUGUCCAGAUGAAAUUAGUGGUUCAUUUUCUUCCUCUGAAUCACUUAGGACAAUGACCUCAGUGUCCCCCAAUGGUGCAAUUGGAUUUCGAUCGCUAUAUCCAUAAGUUGGUUCAAUGUUCAGAGAGAUUGAUUCAAGUUCAAUUCCAUUGUUAGUUGAAUAGUCAAGGUUCCCGCCACCAUCCUGGUUAACACUAGGAUCUUCACCAUCUUUGUCACUGCUAGCGGCGCUACUGCUCAUGGGAAUAAUAUUCUGUCUAUGACAAAAAUCUUCAUUCAAAUUAUUUCCGGAUGAAAAUGUCUGCAAAUCUUCCGGUUUGCUAAUUUCCCAAAUACCAUUUCUGUUUUUCUUCAUUCCAAGCUUCAAACCAGCAUGGCCAUCAGAACCACCUUCCUGUUUAAUCUGCUUCAGCAUCACAGGUUUUGGCUUAGAUUCUACAUCCGCGGAAAGAGAACCAUCAGGAGCAUGCCACAGCCCAAGAUCCCCAAGACCCCUACGGUCACCUUCUACCUUUGCACGCCAAGAACCGUCGGGCUUCACUUCAAUCUCAUUCACUUCUUCUCCAUAACUCCGCAACUAUUCCCAAUGCAGAAAAAUGCACAUGGCUUAAGAGUAAAGAUGACAUAACUAAUGUUAUAAAAAAAAAUAUGACAGAUGGCAAUACCUUAGAUGUGAUGCGAUUGAAAUAUGGGUCUAUGAUGAUAUUCUCCAGGCAAUAGUUCUUGAGACAAAUGGGGCAUUGCCACUGCAGCCAUGUAGAAGAUUUUAUUGGUCAACUAGGGAAAAGGAUGGUCCUAAAAAGACCAACAAGAUACACAAGUAUUUCAUGCUUACCUUCCUAGACCGCAUGUUCAUUUCCACAAAAACCUCAAGAUCAAAACAGCCCAUGUGAACACACGGUUUAAAUCUUCCAGCAACCUUCAUUCGUGAACCACUCAUCUGCAGACACAAAAUUCACAAAAUGCAUUACUGCAAGGAAAAAUAAUGAACAAACAAGGAGAUCAAAUGAGACUCGUGAAACUUAUGACCUUAUUUUGGAGAAGUAAGAUAGCAUAUCAAGAUGUGCAGAAAUUUGUUUGGAACAGAUGAUGCUUAUGUAAUAUUACAUAACGACAUUGACAAGUAUAAACACAACAUGAAUAUUGGUAGGCUUAUAGGUACAUAUUUAUGUAAGAAUGCACGUGUCUAAGUAUGCCUACAAAAUUAGAGAUGAAAAAGUUGGAUGUAGAGAUAGGCAGAAUCAUAUGCUUCAGGAAUGGUGAUGGUUUGCACCUUCAACUAGAAAUGGUAAAAUGUAUUACUUAACCUAGUUCACUGCAUUUAAAUUACCAAAAGUCUACUGUGAAGUCAACGCUUGUAUAUUAUGUGGAUACCAACAUGAAGAAUCUUUUUUCUUUUUCUGGCAACAAAGUCACAAAAGGUUUUUUUAAUGGAUAAAAUACCCAAAAACUCCUUGUGGUUUGUUAAAUGUUCAAUUUAACUCCCUCUAGUUUGAAAAUCUACACUAUAACUCCCUGUGAUUUCAACUAAAUUGAAAUUGGACAGAAAGCAUCUAAUCUAACGGUUAUACAUGAAAUGUCAAUAUUGCCCUUAUAUAAAUGAACUCUCUAUGGUUUGUUGAAUGUUCAAUUAAACUCCCUUUGGUUUGAAAAAUUACACUAUGACCCCCUACGAUUUCGACUAAAUUGAAAAUUGAAUGAAAAGCAUCUCACGUAUAGUAGGGGCAAUAUUGACAUUUCACGCACAACUGUUAGAUUUGAUGCUCUCUGUCCAAUUUUCAAUUUAGUCAAAACCACGGGGAGUUAUAGUGUAGGUUUUCAAACCAGAGGGAGUUAAAUUUGAAUAUUUGUCAAACCACAAGGAAUUUUUUGGUAUUUUACCCUUUUUUAAUCUUUAUCAGGGACUAAAGUUACCAGAAAUACAUCAUGUCUAACAUGCACAAACUCCAAAAAGUUAGAAAUUAACAAGCAUUCUUUCCAUUAAUAUCCAAAACCAAGGGAUACGGAAACAAUGCAAAUGAUGCAGGAAGCAUCAGAGUUUAUGCCUCGACCCAAAAUUUGUGAAAUCAAUAUCUUGGUUCUAAAUUUAAUUACUAAGAUGCAUCAAGGAAUGCAUGUUAAGUGCCAUUUGUGAUUAUAAGAACAUUAAGCACACAUGUACACACAAAUAUAAAUACACUUGCAUGCCUAUAGUAACCCCCAUGUCAUGCGCAACUUAUUAUAUAGAGUGGUCUAUAAUUUCUUCUUAACCUGAGUGUUCAAGUAACAAUGAGGCAGCAAAUCUAUCUUGAUCACUAUUAACCAAGAGAACAUUGACUAAGAAGGCUAUAAAGUACUCAGCAUGUACUACAGUACAUGACUUGUGCCUUUAGGACAUAAACUAUUAAUUUUGAGGCAAUUAACCUUGGUAGAUUUGGGGAAACUACAACUUCUAGGUAUUUUGCCCUACAAAGGAAAAGAACAGGAGAAUUGGACCCUUUGUUUCAUUAAUCUUCUUGGACAUGCAAAAACAAGAUCACAGGUAGAAAAAAGAAUGCUUGAAGCCAAAUUACCAAUAGAGAACGAAUUUAAAGUUCAAAAAUCAGUGUCCUUACAAGUAACAAGAGCCAACGGAUACAAAUCACCAAGAAUGUUCAUAGCACCAAGUUGAAGCCAAAUCUAAACUCAAGAUAUUUGUUUUUAUGGGAUAUGUUACUUUUCGGGGAAGAUUGAAAUACAUCUCGUCUAAAAUGCCUACAUCGGAACAUACAAGACCAAAACAUAGUACAUCAAGUCAGAAAAGGAUAAUUUUAUAAAGCACCGAUCAAACUUGACAGGUUACUUGGAUAAAUAUACGCUUUCAUCCUAAUACUUCAUGUAUACCUUUUUUCCUUUUAUGCGUUUCUUUUUAUUUUUUGUUUUUGGCAGGGGUGAAGGGUAAUAUGUGGUGGUUAAAGUAUCCAGUACACAAAAAAAUUGAAAACUAUCAGAAGACUUUCAGAUUUUAACACUCCCAGAUUCCAUCAUAGGCCAAAGCAAGAACUAGGACUGCAAGCCAUUCCUCUUUUCUGUGCAUGAACCAGUGCUCUUUAGGUGAAAGUCUAAUUUAAGAAGACUACGAGCCAUUAAUUCAAAAGCAAAUGCGGCAAAAAAAAAAAAGGAAAUGCAUAAAAACCAUUGACAAAGAUUCUGAAGUUGAGUGGCAUGUCAUUAUAACAUCAUUAUAACAUAAGAAGCAGGUUGCAAUGGUGUAGUAGAUUAGAAACCAAAUGAUAUCGCUGGGCAACAUCAUAAUUGAGGAUGAUUAACCCUUAUAGACACUAAACAAAAUUGUGGGGAAAAAAAAUGCCACAAAAAGCUAUAUAAUUCAAAUCAGACGUCGACGUGAAAUCAAAUAUCAUCCUAUCUUUAACAACCAAACACACAAACAUUAACAUCCUUACAGGACAACGAAGAUUGACAGGAAUAAAAUCAGCAACAACUUCCAAAUCGCUGUCACUGUCAGCAUUUUCUGUUUCUGUCCCACCACCAACACAACGUUUCACACGAGCAAGCGCAUCUUCAAAUAGCUCCCCUUCAGAUUCCUUGGGAAUCAAGUUGAGAAUCUAUAGAGGCAAAUAGGAAGGAAAAGAAGAAACAAAAAAUAAGCAACGCAACCUAGAGAGCAAAAUUUCCCACAUAAUGCCAAACAGGAACAAAUAUUCAGGAAGUAACUUGUUUAACCCACAUGUUGAACAGUCCGACGCUUAACAAUUCUGACACCCAGACAGAAGACACGAGCAUCGCAUCCUGUUAAGGAAAUCCUAUUAAUUCCAUCUCUGGUGCACGGGGUGAUCUGGGAAAACAAAACAAAAUGAACUAAAAAAAUCACAAGGGAAUCAUGGCAAGAAUAUAUUCGCAUAAACGAAGUGACAGCUAAUUGACACCUAAGUUCAUCAUCAAAAGCAGAAGCAUACACAAAAGAUUACCAAAUAGAGCACACAUAGGCUGCUGGACUUUAAAAAGCAAACACAAAGUAAAUGCAGUGAAGCAUAUGAGUAGUAGUUUUUCAAUUUGAAAACUGAACAGAGAAGAAAUUAUUUUCUCUGACAAUAAUAAAACACUCACAACAGGCCCAUCAUCUCGACCAUUUGCACCUAGCAACUGUGAUCCUGGCCUAUUUAUCGCCCGAACUGGUACACCUAUUGCAACAUAUAGAAGUAUAAUUACAAAGUAAUCCGUUCCAGCUUAAAGUGAAGCCCAAAAAAAAACAAAUUAAAGCAUCAUAACAGUGAAAAAUCUAAGUACUGGCUAGCAUAAUUCAACUUCAUUACAAUAAUAUCCAUAUACCCAGAUAACUCUAUGAAUGCUCAAAAUGUAGCUUCAAUCAGUUGUUGUUUAUGCUUUUCUAGCUUGGAAGCGAUCCACAAGAUUUGCAACAGCAGAAAGAGAUUAAGAAACCAUAGUUUAUAUGAAAAAGAGACUUUCUUUUUUUUUUCAUUUUUUGUUUUGUUUCAUAAAUGAAAAAGAGACUUAAUCUCAUAUGGAAAGACGUUUUAACAGUGUCGAGGUCCCAUUUACAUUUUAAGGUUGUAAUCCAUAACCAUAAUGUGGUUCCAAAGUAAAGCAAGCAAUAAAGCAUACCAUUGACUUGUAGGUCAGCAUACUGUGGCCACUGCAUCCUAAAAGGAACCUUGUCAUUAAGAAGCAUACACCAUGCCUGAUCACGAUAACACAAGAUUAAAAACAAGGCGAAAUAUAUCCACAGACAAGUAUCUAAUCCGGAAAAUAAUUAAUAUGCACUCUUGUUAUUUAUCGAAGUGCAUGACCAACCUGAACAUCAUACUCUUGUUUUGACAACAAGUCCUUGUCCGCUCUAGUGAGCUGAAAUGUUUUCUCAAUGCUCUGUACAGGGUUAGAGCUGGAAUAUGCACAAACAUAACAUAAGCUACGGCACAUAUGUGUCAGCACUUGCACGCACAUGCCCAAAUAUCAAUGAAUGAUAAUAUAAACAUAAUAGUUGCUUAAAUCCAGCUAAACUCAAUCGUAUGACAAAUAUCCUGUCUCACAUGACAUGCACAAACCCACACCCCAAAAUAAAAACCACAGAAUCUCUCAUUCUAUCUGCCGAAAAGUUAAUGAACAAACUAGAAAAUGUUUUUGAUGGUUUUCUAACUAUUUGAAUAAACAUUCUUGGCCAGAAUGCAGCCAAACUUCUAUCGCUAUGAUUAAUUUUGAGGUAAGAGAGAUUUUUCAAAGAUGCUGAGUGCCAGAACAACAAUCAUAGUUACUAACACACCUAUAUCAUGCCACACCUUUUCUAUACAAAAUUGACCCUUAAAACAAAAUAAUUGAAGAUGAACACUAUCUCAUACCAAUUUGAAACACAAUUGUGAAAAUCAAAUUCUGGUCAUAGGACCAAAAGCAUUAUAUCUGUUCAACUAAAAGAACAAAAAAAAUAAGAAAUCUACAGUACUCACCCAUCAGCAGGAACACUUGUAAUCAGUAACUUCACUGGAUAUAGAGGAUGUGCCAUUGUCACCCAGAAGCUGCACACAGCAAAAGCAAUCAAAUUUAAUAAUUCCCAAAAAACAAUGCUAAUAGUACACACUGUGAUGCCAAAUUUCUCAUCAUCAAAUGAUCAUAGUGGAAAAUGAUUCAUUUCUUAAAGACUUAUGUACUAGCCCAAUCAGAGUAAAAAACACAGGAAAAACAACUUCAAACAAUCAAGUUUCGUACAACCUUCUUCAGGGUGAAAAGAUCCAUUCAGGCAGUAAAAUCACUAAAAUCAGAAUUUACACUUAUGGGUGGUAUACAUAACCUUAACAUGAAAACAUAUUCAGGCUGAAACACACGACAUUCAACUAGUAAGCAUGCUGGAAGGAGGGGGGAACUAGAAUCAGCACCCAAAGGACUGACAAGCUCUUUUUGUUAACUCUUAUAUGUAAAGCUAACAAACUAUAAUAGGGAAAAAUCAGAGAUAACUCCAAUAAUGCAAUCUGCUAAAAAACCAAUGAUGAAUCAUAGAAAAACAAAAGCAGACAACACAUAGCACCAAUAGAGAAGAGCAUCAAUAUUAAAUGUUCAAUAAUUCACAGAAACACAAAAUAUCUGAAGUGAAACUUACGGGUCUGCACGAGUCAAUCUACACAAUUCACAGUAGAAAGUCUCUGGAGGGACAGGUAAAGCACCCUCAUUAGGCUUCUCAGAAAUGAUAACACAACCUAUGUGUUGCCACACACCGCAUUUUGGAUCUUCACACUGUAGCCAGAAGUCAACCAUUAACUACUAGUAAAGAUGAAGAUUCAAUGUCUGACAGCUGGUUACAAUCAUAUAACCAAUUACAUAUCCAUGUAACACUAAGUCUGGUACAAAAAGAACCAGUAUGAUCCAAAAGAAGGUUAGAAGACAUCAUAAAACACAUUCCUGCAUCAGAACACGCAUGCAGCACAGCGUAAUACCAUAUGAACACAGCAUGCAGCACUCAACUAAAGUUGGGCUAAGGGAUAAUGCACCAGAAACAAGAUAGCAAGGGAAGUAACAUACAAAUAAGAAACUACAAAAAACCAAGUAAAAACGCACUAGAAUGCAUGAACAUUGACCAGCAAUAUGCUCGUUACUUAAACCUUUAUUUAUCAUGCAAUAACAUCUAUGCACUUGCAACAUAAUCAUGGAUGUGUGUCUGUGAAGGAGAGAGAUGCAAUAGGUAUAAUACGUCUUACCUUAAUCAUGGUCUCAUUUGGCAAUGAGCUCCCACAAGGGCAGCGAAUCUUCUCCGUUUGAUAAGAGUCCUCAAUUUCCUCCUUCAGCUUUACAUUACUGCAUUCAGAACCACCUUGUGAUUUGGAUGCCAAAUCAGUCGCUCCAGAAACCUGCAUUUUCCUGGAAGCACCAAGACAAGGUUUACGUGCAUUGAUAAAUUCAGGAAAGUUCAGAAAGCUUGACCAAACAACUUUCAAACAUCUGAAGCAAAUACUAUUAUGAAACAAGUAUCUGUAGUUGUGAGGAAGCACAACCCUACUAACGCAACCAAAUUAAAUUAACAUAACUAAACUUUGCCUGUAAUAUCAACAUAGAAGUAAUUCAGCAAAGAGUACAAAAGACAGACCUGUGAGUAUCAUCGACUAGUUUUGCUACGUCAUCCUUCCCUACAGCAUUUUUCUUUGCCCACAUUCCUGAAACUGUGAAUAACUCACAAGUGAACUUAUUAUACAUAAAACAAGUAAAUAAUUAUCAAAAUUCCAUCUCACUUUUCCAAAGCUCAAAACCACAUUCAUGAUCUGCCAUGGCCCAUAAUUUAGAUGGAACUGGUCCAAAAAUGACAAAUAAAAGAGUUGAUCUCAGCAGUAACAAAGCAUAUGAACGCUCAAAAUUCAUAACAAUUCAUAACAAUGCCAUCUGCACACGUAUGAUAGUAGCUUGUCGAGAUAUUCCCACCAAAUGUUCCCCCAACCCCCCCCCCCAAAGCCAAAAAAAACCGGGGGAAAAAUAGAAAAAGAAACUCUCAAAAACCACCAAAAUCUCUUCAUUUUACAAGAGAAAGGGAAGUAAGAAUAUUCAUUAAUUUUUGUACUAGUUCAAGUACAAGAUUGCACAUACAAGGCAAUAACUAAUACCUGAGAUCAAAAGCUGCAUGCAUAAAAUACGCAUUGCAAAUUGUUCAUUGGCAUCAUGACAGCAUAAGUAGUGUACAGUCAUGUUAGUCUACACUAUCAAUGAGAAUAGAAGUGCCUAGCAGACAUAUAUAUUUCAUGAAGGAAAACGUAACACCAACUUAAAUAAACAUGCCAAUGUGGAGCUAUAGUAUCAAGUAUAAAUACUUCCCGAAAAAGGAACAGCAAAAGGCAAAUGCAGUUAUGCACCUUGAUCAUCAGAGAGCACGUUCAAUAUCCGAUCAACAAGGUCCUGCAUCGACACAAAAAAAAGAGAAGAUUGCACAAGAGUUCUUACAAAAAAUAAGUAAAAUACAUAAACAAAUGAUCAACUACUGAUAAAAUUGAUGGAGAAGCAACACCAUGGAGAGGAAACCCAUCGUAGCAAGAACAGAAAUUUAUAAAAUUGAUGGAGAAGAGCAGCUAUUCACCUUGGAACUCGAUGCUUUUAGUGGACCUAAGUGAGUCAAGUCAAUUUCUAAAUUCACGAAAACAGACUUGCUCAAUUAUUUCUCAGCACCAAGACACGUAACCCUCGGUUUCACAUCCACUAAAUAACUAUGCCACAUGUUGACAAGAAAUCAUAAGUUGAACAUAUAAUUUUGUUAAAAACUUCUUCACUAACUUCCGCAUUGAAAAAUUACAAGCUUAAAUUAAUACAAAAUCACAUUCCUAAAUCCUAAGGGGAAAAAAAUCAAAAUGGAGGGAACACUGAAAAAGCACCAAAUGGUUGUAUAAACACUUUUUUAAUAGCAAGAGAUUAUCAGUAAAGCUUGGCUUAAGAAAGUGAUGAAAACUUCUAAAAUCUCACAGAACAACCCCAAACAGUAUAGUAAAAUAAUAGAUGACCCGAACAUCAUCAACUAAUCCAGAAACUCCUUAGAGGAUCCAACCACAAGUUCUGAUCAAUUUCAAGAGCUGGUAAAAGAUAGAAGAUGAUGCUAAGACACAAAAAUCCUGAGUACGAAUAGCAAACCAACAGUUGAAGUAACCAAAUAAUCCUUACAGCUUUCCCAACAAAGCAAACACAACUAGGUUUAAAGAAGUAAUAGAGAUCAUAGAAUGGAAAAGGAAACAAAAGGGGGCAAAAGACAAACUUAGUGUGCAACAGUAAAAACAACAGAACAGUUCUCGUAUCAAACCUGCUUCUUUCCUUGUUUUGACAUUCCUAAUUGCGUAAGAACAUCCUUAAGCUCUUUUAUUCGGAAAUAAGCCAACUUGUCCUACAAAACAGAACCACAACAACCAGUUUAGUUGAAAUUGAAUGUAAAUGAUCUUAAAAAUCCAUUAAGAAGAAAGAAACGAAAAAACAGGAACAGAAGGAAAAGAAGUGAAGACCCCGUAACAGCAGAAAGAAAGGACAGAUUGGUCAAUACGUAAAACAUUGAAAUCCCCUUAUCACUAACUCAAAUGUGAUAAAAAGAUUAAAAAGUUAGGCCAAGAGCGAAAAAAUUUAGAGCAUGGAAUUUUAAAAAAAAACAUAAUAUUGAAAGAUGAAGUUGCAGUUCUGCAAUAAGUGAGGAUCUAGUUAAUGAUAAGAGCCAUAAAACACAGCUUAAGGAAAAUAAAGAGAACCUUAAGGCACAAAAAGCUUAUGCCGAGUGUGUUUCUCCAUACCAUAUCGCUUGAGCUUAAGCCUUAAACUGGGGUACAUGAACAACCAUUUUUUGCCAUAUUCAAAGUCCAUUAUGUACAUCUCAAAUUUCAAAUAUUUAUGUAGACUCAUAAAUGAGUUGUCAAACUAAGAUAAUUACGUGACAAGUUGAUGAAAUUACCUAAAAACGGUUGAUGAGGAGGGAGUCUUAAUAAAAGGUAUAAAUUAACAUCCCCACAUGUAGGUACAAGAAAUGAACAUCUUUUCCUCAUGUCUCUACAAUAAAAUCUACCUUCGCACAACUAACCCAUGAUCAAGUAAAAAGGACUUCUAUUCCAUCACCCAUUUCAGAGAUGAGUUUGCCUAACUAGACAGGAUUCCAAUUUCGUGCAAAUCACAAAACACGGCAAAACAACUUAUCAAUCACGAAACUCAUAACUGAAGCAAAACAUUUCUUUCAGCUGAAAAAACAAUUAAACAUAACAAUGCACAUUCCACCCAAAAGAAAAUGGACGAAUUCCACGUAACACCUAUACAGCCACAAACCUUGCAACUCGCCACCAAAUCCAUGUUUAAUUCCUGUUGCUGCCACUGCAGCCUCCACCGCCACCGCCGCAGAUUUUUAACAGUUCAAUCAGCACGGAUAUCAAUCAGCACGGAUAUCAAUCAGCAAAAACCGUGCCCUACCCACACACUACAAUCGAUCUAAUUACAUUAAAAAAAAGAAAAAAAAUUAAAAAAUGAACGAAUUCCAAUCCAAUCAGCACGAAAAAAAAUACAAAAUAAGAUAGUACAAAAAUUAGUCAGGCAACUUACGGCGGUGAAGAGAGCUAGGAGCCUGUUUGGAGACAAGGACUGAUGAACUCCGUUUGACAAAAGGUUUACGGCAGUGAGUUAAAGUCUCCCAACUCGCCUCCUCAAGCCGACUCAGCCGUUUCGUUUUUUUUUUUUUUUCCUCUUCACAAUUUCUUUUGAGUUUUGCUUUGCGUUCCCUUUUUUGACUGAAGAAGAAGAAGAAGCCGGAAGAGGACUAAGAGGUCUAAUCCUGCAAUUACCCACGGACGUAUCAUGGAUUCAUCAAAUCCGGUUUAUUCACCCCCGACACGUCCGGGUUCAGAUUCUGUGUUCUCGGGUGCAUACGGCGUCGUGUUGCAUUUUUUGUUUGUUUUUAAAUUUACUUUUCUUUCUCCUUUUGAUUUUUUUUUUUUUUGGAAAUUUCCCCCGUCUGACGCUGGCACUAGCUUGCAGAGCCGCUAUAAAAAAUUUGGGGACCCCCACAAAAAAAAAGAAAAAAAGGGGUGGGACCCAGAAUUAUGUGGGUCCGACGUUUGGAGGCUUUGCAACUUGUAAUGUGAAGCUUCGGUGUCGUUCGGCGGCAGAGGAGCCGUGUCGGUGUUGGAUUGCUCGGAUCACCUUAUUGUUGACUUUGGAGCUACGAUUCUACUAGCAUUCUGAGUUCUGCAGUUUUGUGAAUAAUAAUGUGGAUUUCCUCAAUAAUAACAAUAUGAAUAGCUAUUAUUUUAACAAAAUUAAUUAUUAAAAUUUGUUCAAAAUUUCUCUCACAUUUUAUAAAAUAAUUUUUUUCGUCCCUUACUUUUAAAAGUGUAAUUUUACGUCUCUUAUAAAUUCAUAUUGAUCAAAAUUGGUUCCUCCCUAAAUUUUCGAUUAGUUUUUAGUCGAAAUCUACCACAUGUCCUGCACAUAAUCAUUUUUUAAGGGUAAAAUUAUCAAAUUAAAUUUUACAUAAUUCAAUUUAUAGUCUCUCACAUUUAUAAAAUAAAUUUUUUCGACAUCACAUUUAACAAAAUGAAUUUUUUUAUCCUUCACAUUUUCAAAAUAGAUUUUUUCAUCCCUCAUUGAUCAUGUAUGUGAAUAAUUUUUUUUAACCCAUGUAUAUCUAUUUGAUUUUAUCUAAAUAGUAUGUAAUAUAUCACUAUUUGAUUUCAACUGAUGAAAUCAAAUAAUGAUAUAUUACAUGUUAUUUUGUACUACUCAGGUAAAAUCAAAUAGGUAUAUAUAUUAGUUUAAAAAAAUUGUUAGUUUUUCACUUAUAUUCAUUCCUUUUACUUAAAAAUUGAAAAUAAAUAUGACAUUUAAUUCUAAACAUUAUUGAGUGUUUAUAUCGAAUUAAAUUUGGACAGAAAAAAUAAAUAAAGGAAAAGUAUGAUAAAAAGAACUAAGUGAUUGGCACUUUCAAAUUUUAAGACAAUCACAAUGCAAAUAAUUCAACUAUUGAUUUUAAAAGUAGCGAAUAAAAAUUUUAAAUUUAAACUGCAAUUUGUUAGCACGAUUAUAAAAUUUGAAUUAUGACUAAUUAAUUAGAUGGUCUUAUUAGACAAAUCAAUAAAUAAAUUAUUAUCAAAAGAGAAAAGUUACAAAUAUUGAAUAGAUUCACAUGGUGAAAUCAUAUAGAUAUAUAUAUGGGUUUAAAAUAAAAUUGUUAAUUUUAAACUCUUGUAUAUAUAUAUAUAUAUAUAUAUAUAUAUAUAUAUAUUGAAUAGAAUGUGUACAACUACGAUUAAUCUGUUUAGGUGAAACCAAAUAAAGAUAUAUUACAUAUUAUUCGUACUAUUCAGGUGAAAUUACAUAGAUGUAUACAUGGAUUUAAAAAAAAACUAUUCGUACACGUAAUCAAUGAAUAAUGAAAAAAUCCAUUUUCAAAAAUGUAAAGGAUGACAAAUUUUAUUUUGUAAAAUGUGAGGGACAAAAUAAUUCAUUUUGUUAAAUGUUAAUGACGAAAAAAUUCAUUUUAUGAAAUGUAGGAGACUAUAAAUCAAAUUAUGUAAAAUUUAAUUUAAUAAUUUUAUCCUUACAAAAUGAUCAUGUUCAAGACAUGUGGUGUAUUCCGAUAAAAAAUUAGUCAAAAACCUAAGUAGGGAUUAAAUUUGAUCAAUGUAAAUUUAUAAAGGAUAUAAAAUUACACUUUUAAAAGAAAUGACAAAAAAAGUCAUUUUACAAAAUGUAAGAGACGUUUUGAACAAUUUCCCCUUAAUUAUUUAUUUACAUCCCAAACAGAUUUUUUAGCCUACAUUUUAUCCUUCUAAUAAUAUUUUUAUCUCAUAAAUAUUACAUCACGAAAAGUGGUACGGUAAUUAUUUUAAAUAAACUCAUAUCUAAGUAAUGAAAAUCCACUUCUAAUUCUCAGUAGUAACAACAAUGAAGGGUAAAAAUUAUUGUAUGUUCUAAUUAGUCAUUUUUUUAAUGCUCAAACUAAAUUGUGUCAAUCGAUAAACAAAUCCAAUCGGGCACCAGCCUUUUGAUCUGGUAGUCGGAAGUCAAGAAUUCAAUAUUUAUCUUCCACCAUAUUGCCACUAUAUGUGGUUGUAUUCAGUGGCUUCCUCCGAUAAAAUUUCUACUCAUAUCGAUUCUCUCUCUCCCUAAAUUAUGAUAGAUCAUGUUUAGAAAUGUUACCAUUGCGAAAAAAAAAAAACAAAUCCGAUCAACUUGGUCAUUUGGAUCAAUUAUUUGUUAGCACAUAUCAACACUAACAAACAGCUUUUUUUUUUUUUAGAUAGUUUUUAAUGACAAUUCACUAAGUUUUUAUAAUGUUAUUCUCACUAUUCUCGUUUUUUAUAUUGGUUUGCUAUGAAAAAUAAUAUAGUACAAGUGAUGUCAUAAGAAAUUACAUGAUUAAUUGUUUACUAAAAAAGGAAAAGAAAAAGUGAUACUUUCAUUUACGAAAUUAAAAUGAUACUUUAAUUUACCAAUGUCACUUUAAAUUUUAUCAAUGUGAUACUUUAAUUAAAGUGACAUCAUAGGAAAUUAAAGUUUAUCAAUGUCAUUUUAAGUGAUACUUUCAUUUACGAAAAAAAAAGAGAUAACAAAAGGUGACCCUCUCAUCAAGUGGUAGGUAAAAUUUGUUAUUUAUAUGACCAAUAGAAAAUUGACUUGUAGAUUUUCAACUCACAAUGAAAUAAUCAAACAAAAUAACAUUCUGUGAGAACCCGUAAAUUGCAUUUUCUAGGUUUUCGCAUUUUUCAUGACUUGUUUUCUGCACUUUCUGUAUCCGGAACAUUUUCUAGAUAAUUUUUAUGAGUAAAUAUAGUUUUUAGAUGAUUUUUCUAGUAUCGAAUAGAUUUUGAGAAAUUAAGAGCGUAUACCGGACGUGGGACCCACUAGUGUGAGAAGUUCGAAAAAUUCGGCCAAUUAGGUUAAGUUUCGGAUACUGGUUGAAAUUUAUCGGGUGUUAAGAGAUAAGUAGAGGUUGAGAUGUGAUUGAUGUGAGAGGGACUUAAAGGAUAGAGAUGUUUUAAAGGAAGUGACAAGUGUCACCUUAAGAGUGGUUGUAACUUAUGACAACUAUUCACCUUUUUGACUUAUUUGACCAAUUGAUUAAAUAUCUCAAAAAUUACCACAAAAAUCACCAUUUCUUACCUCCAUUGUGGCCGGCCACCUUGAGCAAGGAAGAAAGAAAAACUCUUCAAAGUUUGGCAUCCAUCUAGUGCAAAUCAUCCAAAGCAAUCACUUAGACUUGUUUCUACUCCAUAAAAUCUCUUCUUUAGGUGUUAGUAAGUGGUUUGGUGAAGUGUUUUGGGAAGCUAAGGUGACAAACAACUCUUCCUCUCUUGUUUACUAGGUGAGUGGUGAUUGAACUUUCUCCUUCACUUAAUGAAGCUUAAUUAGUGCCUAGUGGUAGUUAAAGUGAUGAAUUUUGUGGUUUACUUCUUGGUUUUGGAUUAUUUGAUGAAGUUUCAAUUUAUUGAUGAAUUUUCUGGUUUAAUAUGAAUGUGAUGUUGUGGCUAUCCUUGAUGAUGGGAAUUGAUGUUUAAUGACUCUAGGAGGUGGAAAAAGUGGAAGAUUGCAAUUAAUUUCUGUUUUGGAAGAAAUCUGGAAAAUUAGGGUUCUUGGUUCUUCAUUCUGUCCGAAAUUUUUGGUCCUAGAUAGAGGCCGAAUUGGCCUUACCUCAAAACAUGAAAGUUGUAGGGAAUGAUAUUUUAGAGGUUCCUACAAAAUUUCAGGUCAAUCGGAGUAGUGUAGAGUGAGAAAAGUCGAAAUUACUAUUGCUAUUCUGGUUUACCCGAAAUUGGGAUUUGCGACUGUAAUUGGUUGUUUUGGUUGGAAUUGCUUCCGAAUUGGUUGUUGAGGCCUUCUGAUGAAAUUUAGCCCUGUUUCUUAGCUUUCAACUGGUUUUGGAAUUUCUGGAUUUGGACUUGUAGAGCCUGAGUUAUGAUGUUUCCGCUAGAAUGCGUUUUGGUGAAUCUGUUUUACGUUGUUGAUGAAGUAUCUUGCAUUUUUGACCUGUUUGCACUCAAAACUGGGUUGAGUGACCUUCUGUGAUGUUGUAGCCCUGUCUUUUAGCUUCGAAAUGGUGGGUCUUUCACCCUCAUCCGAUAAUCGUGGUGCAUUUGGUGCUAUUACCGCAAAGUAAAGUCAAAACCUGUUUUUUCAGGGCCAAAGUUAAUUGCAUGUCCGAAAUUUCUGAUUUUCUUUAAUGUUUGUAUAUGUUUAUGGAACCCUAUUGGGGUCAUACUUGGCAUUGGUUUAUGACUCGUUAUCGAGUCUCCUUGUACUUGUUUGCAUGUUUUAGGGCUUGCUUUCAUUCCGGUCAUUUCCUAGCUAACUUUUGUACUUGUACUACUUUGAGCCUCGUGAACGGCUUUUGGGAAAUGAGAUGACUUUUGUGUGAGAUGUUGGGACUGAUUUGAGGAAAUAAUGAAACCUUAAUGGCUGGAAAAGUAAGAAAUUUAGGGGAAGUGCUGCCCGAUUUUCUAGGCCGUUUGGUUCUUUUAAGUUGGAUUUGCCUUUUGGUAGAAAUGAAAGGGCUUUUGGGUUGUUGAACCUAGGUCUUCAUGUUAUCUUUUUAUUCCCAAAAAUCAUGUUUUGUACCCUUGCAUUUGUAAUUAUUUGGCGAGGCAUACGACUAGUAGUCGAGCCUCAUGUGCAUUUUGUUUACUCGAUUAUGGAUGUGAAACCUUCAGUUGGUUUAUUUUGAUUAUUUUAGGGUUUCUUGGCGAUUAAGGCCAAUCUGAAGUAAAAACUUUUGAAGUUGAAUCGGUGAGUGUAUCACUCCCCUCCAUUGCUGUUUAACUUGAUUUCUGCUCUGCAAUCUGUUUAUUUGUUCGAGACGAGGGUGUACUUUAUCACACUCGUUCUCUUGUCUGUUCAUAUGCCAAUUUACUAUGCAAAAUUUGAAUCUGUUAUAUGUGUCUGCAUCUGUUCGGAUUUCUAUGACCUAUGAGCUCAAAUCCUGUGGCUAAGUUAUUCGAGUCGGGCCGGCAAGGGCCUGGACGAUUAGAUAACGAACCACGGUAGUCUGUUUUGGGAUCUUUGGGUAUUGAGACCCUUGAUUCCGGUAUACUCGAGUAUUACCAUUUAUGUUCGAAUACGGUGAGCGGGCCCGGUAAAGGGGUGUUUGGUGGACGGAAUUCGGUGCGAAGUGAGGUCUACGGACGCGUUGGUUCUAUAUACGUUGACGGAGAGUCAACCGGUUUGGAUCAAGUAUUGCGCUGGAAAUUUGGCUCUUGAGAGCCACCUGUAUCCUUCUGAUUUGAAUCAUUAGUUACUUUACUUUACAUCUGGCAUGUGUAUCUGAUUUGUUAAAUGUGAAAUGCCAUGAUUUUCUGCUAUAUGUUUGGUACCUCAUUGAGCGCAAGCUGACCCCUUUCUGUUCCUUUUUGUUUUCCUUACAGGAAAAUAAAUACUUUUGGACUGGAUUUGACAAAUGGUUGCCGAAUUGAGCUAGUUAGACAUAUCUUUUGUAUAGCUCAUUGAUUUAAACGCUAAAUAUACUUUUGGGUCCGUUUCUCUUUUGAAUUUGGCAAACCGUACAUGUAUCCACUUUUGAAUCACUUUGGUAUGCCUUUGGGUUGUAUAUGCUAACUUUUGAGAUGUAAAUAUUUGCUUGACGUUUGGUUGGGUUUUGCCAUGUCGGUUCCUAUUCAUGGCCGACUCCGAUUUCGUUUUGUUUUAUUCUGGGAUUUUGACUUGUCUAUGCGCGUUGUACGGUCCGGAACGUAUUCGAUCGCUCUAAUCUGAACCGUUAGUCCUGGCGAGAAUUGGGCAGGCGGUCCACCGAACCCUUUGGUUCGCCUUAGGGUGAGGUGGGGCUGUCACACAUUCCUUGAGAUUUUUCACCAAAAGAAUGCAAUUUAGCCCUGGUAAUUUGGAUACAUGACGUUUAAAUGCGUUGGUUAGAAUUUUAUUAAGUAUUCAGUGAGUUACUUAAAAUAUUUACUCACAUAACUCAUUUAUGUGAAUUGCAAGAGAUUUACAGUAUUAACUAUAACAAUUAGUAAGUAUUUGAUAUUGAUGAUAUAGACAGUUGUUUAUGUUUUACAAUUCUAAAAUAGAUAUUUAACUAACAUGAAAAUGUAAUUAUAGGCUAUUAGAUGAAUUUAUUAGCAUGUGUAUGUCUAUUAUUACUUACAAGACCAGUAUUCCUACUUACAUGAACUAGUGUUAACAACACACUUAAUGCGUGUGCAAUUUAAAAAUAUUUUUUCUUUCCUAUAAAUAUACUUAUUUUGUUUAUACACAUAAUAUUUUCAUUAAAGAACUUUGACAUAUUAGUAACAUUUUCUUCAAUAGGGUUAUAAUUAAUUUAGUAGUUAUAAUACGCACGGUUAUGAGCGAUUACACUGACAAAUAUGAGUAAGUAGUUAGAAUAACAAUUAGUAUUUCUAAUAAUGUAAUCAAAAGUUCAAGAAAUAGCAAAAAAAUAUUUAAACCAACUACCACUAUCCUCCCUUUAUAUAUUGUACAAUUAAACACCUCACAAUUCAUAAUCAAGGUUGUAUUCGUGUUACCACGUAUAAAUAUACAAAUGCACUUAAAAGUUAUCUUUACAUCAAUACUAUACGAAAGAUAAAAUGUUUCUUUUAUGAGUCAAAAAAUUAACAAGCGUUUUUAAAACAUACAAGCACAUGUAAAAUGUAUAUAAAUAGUAAAAAAUAAAAGAAGAUCAAAUUUGAUUUUCGGUUAAAAUCAAAGCUAAAAAUCCAAAAUCAAUUUUGAACCAAUUAUUGCUUUCUUAGAGUUCAACUUUAACCAAAACCAAAUCGAAAUUGAUUUCACCAAAUCUUUUAUUUAUUUUAAUUAAAUUCAGUCAAAAAAUCAAUUGACCGAAUUCAUGCUCACCCCUAAUUCCAACUCCAAUCUUUAGUUUUAACCAAACUAAUUAAUAUCCAUCAAUUUCUAUCACUAGGAGGCAAUGUGCAUGUCGCACGUGCCAAUAUUGUAGACAUCCUAUAACAUUUGGUAGAACACGCUGUAAACUUAGCUUGCGUAUCGUGUCAUUCUAACAUAAUUAUGUAAAACACACAACACACCUAGCAGGUGUAAAACAAAACAAUAAUGGUUGCUAAUAAACAAUAAUCUACUUAGGUUCCGUUUGAUAAAACUGAAUCUGAAUUCUGAAAUCUGAAUUUUGAAAUCUGAAUACUGAAAUAAUUAAUUUGCUGAAUUUUAAGCACUGAAAAAAAUAUAUGAAUGUCUGAAUUUUAAUGCUAAACCUAUUUAUGCUGUUUGAUAAAUAUUUAUAGCUGAAUGCUAAUAUUACCGCUAAAUUGUUUCAUUGUUUUUUCUUUCACAUACACUUUUUUUUUCUUCUCCAAAUACACAAAUAAAAGCAAUUUUUUAAAGAUAGAAACACAAUGUUUGUGUGAUAUUUCAAUUCAUUACUAUAAUCUUGUUAGUUAUUAAACAACUAUAACUUAACACUUUCAACACUUAAUUUUCAAAUUUCAGAUUUCGGAUUUCAAACUUUAAUUUUAUCAAAUGGAUUCCAAAUUACUUUAAACUUACUAUAAUUUAUAGUUGUAAUAUUCAGAAAUAGCAUGUUAGACACGAUUCUCCCUAGAGUCAUGUUCUGAACACACAUUGUUGAAUGAAAACAAUUUUUAGGACUAAAAUAAAAAGUUUUAAUGCCAUUUGUAUUUUUAAACAUAAACAUGAUACUUGGCAUUUUUGUGUACUACUUUCUAAAGUAUAAAUUGUCAAAAAAUGGUCUAAGCAAAAGAAUGCGUCACCAUGCAAGUAUAUUCCAGGUGGGAUUCUUAAAGGUAGGCGUGGGCAUGGAUUGGAUAUUUGGUCUCGUGCACAUUUGACUGACCCAAUGAUGCAGACCUAAAAAGGGACUCAAUGCUAUUCAAGUAUUCAACUAUUAUUUAAUUAAUCAUUGUCUGGGGCCGAAUGUUUAGCUAGUUUAGUCAUUAGGUUAGUCCAUAGCUAGUCAGUAUUUGGGCUCGAAUUGGUAGCUAAUAAACGGUCCAACUCUUAAAGCUUGGAGCCGUCCUUUAAGUUGGAUUAUGGGCCGAGUUUCAAGGUUGGUUGUAUCUUUUACAUUACGCUGUAUGAACAACAAAAAUACAUCAUUUUUCCUGUUUCAAUAACAGAUUAUAACAUUCUACAGAAAUCGUUUCUUGAGACUUUGCUCUCUUGGCUCUAUGAGCUACUAUUGAACGCCAAGAAUAGUUUUCGUGUUCGUCGGUUUAUCAAUCAAGUUCAUCAUUCUUGAUUGCCACGCCUUCUAUCGUUCUUAGGAUUCACUAAUUCGUAUGAAUAUGGGUCGAGAAUGUAUCGAAAUUUCAAUCACGGGAAUUAGAGGGGUUCAAAUAGAAAAUUCCGCCAAUUCCAAAUUUGUGUUAAUCACCAUCGAUUCGAGGUUCGUUGUUGCAAAUUUCGUUAUCAACGGGAUUUGUAUCACCCAACCUGCACAUUGUAGAUUAGCUAUUUUUUGACUUUUAUCUAUCUCGCGAAUGAACGGGCACUUGAUAUUCAGUCAUUGGGUACCUGUUCAAAAAAAGUCAGAUCAACAGAUAUUUGUCCCAUCCUUCUUAACAUUUAAUUUUUUUCUUAAAAAAUAGUUUCUACACAAACGUCCAAAGAGAAUACCAUUUAUUUGGUAAGGGUGUGCUGGGGGGGAUGGGGCUUCCUUCCCACAUUGGUUGGAUAUAGGCUCUUCAACUUGGGUUUAAGGUUCAUAGGGUCAUCGUUCAGUUACCUAUUGGUUGGAUGUGGGUUUCUUGUGGGUCCCCCUUAGAUUACUCUUAAUUGUGUCCUCUAACCGUUAACCUCCUGAGUGUUUCUAAUAUAAUUGAGUGUGUGUGUUUCUAUCUUUUGAUAGAAAAAAAAAGAAUAAAAAGAAAGAGAAAAUAUUAAUAAGAAUCCAAAAUUAAUGAAAAAUGUAAUCAGCAUUAAUUGCCUACGUUAAUUAAACUUUUUUUCUAAGAAAAUAAGAUCAUAACAUUUACAAAUACAAAUGAAUAUUGUAAACAAAUUAUAGACUCUCAUAUUUCAGUUGCAAUUUAUUCAAUAAAGUUACUUACUUAGCUCUAAAGAUAAUACUUUGAAUAUGUAUGUAAAAAAUAAAAAAUUUAAACCUCUGGCUUUUCCAGCCCUACAUACAAGGUGUACCUGACCUUCUUUGGAUCCGAUGAAAAAUUGUGAAUCUUUUAGUACCUUAAAUUUCAGAGUAAAUUGAAGCGGGUACCGUGGGUCACUAGAUCAAUGGCUUCUUCCGGCCACCCCUGAAAGGGUCAAAAUGGAAUCAGUCAUAGGAUCCGGACGACAAAAGCCGGGGAGUUGGUGGAAUUAGUGGAGUUAGUGGAAUAAUUAGUGGAGCAACUAGUGGAAUUAGUGCAAUAGCUAGUGGAGUUGGUUUCAACUCUAUAAAUAGAUUAAUUUCAUGUUAUGAGAAAUGUCAGUUUUACAAAGAAAUAAACAUUUUGUCCUUUGCUUCUCUUAUUAUUUGCCUCAAUAUAUGUAUCAGUGGUACCAGAGCUAGGCUAGUGAGCGAAAACAAAAGUGAGUUGUGAGAAUUAUUAAUUACGAUGGCCACCGACAAUUUUGUGCAGCCAGCAAUUCCUCGCUUUGUUGGUCACUAUGAUCAUUGGAGUAUGAUAAUGGAGAACUUCUUGAGAUCCAAGGAGUAUUGGCAGGUUGUCAAAUCUGGAGUAGCAGAGCCAACAGCCGGAGAAAUAUUGUCAGAGGUGCAAAAAAUGGAGUUGGAAGCAUUGAAACUGAAAGAUCUUAAAGUUAAAAAUUAUCUUUUUCAAGCUAUUGAUCGAGCCAUUUUGGAGACAAUUCUUAGCAAAGAUACCUCCAAACAAAUUUGGGACUCCAUGAAUAAAAAGUAUCAAGGAAAUGCAAAGGCGAAGCGGGUGCAGCUUCAAGCUCUUCGGACCGAAUUUGAGACUUUACGCAUGAAGUCAAGCGAAUCAGUCACUGAUUAUUUCGCAAGAACGAUGGCAAUCGCUAACAAGAUGAGAAUCCAUGAAGAAAAUUUGAAGGAUGCCACAAUUGUCGAGAAGAUUCUUCGAUCAAUGACAACAAAAUUUAAUUUUGUUUUAUGCUGUAUAGAGGAAUCGAAAGAUAUUGAUGCAAUUUCAAUUGAUGAGUUGCAGAGUUCUUUGUUGGAUCAUGAGCAAAAAAUUAACCAGCAAGAGAAAGAGGAGCAAGCACGGGUGGCUUCAGCAGAAAGUCACUCAACAUGAAGAAGAGACAGAGGCAGAGGCAGAGGUAGAGAAAAUAAUGAUCGUCGCAACCAACAACAACAAUACCAACACCAAGAAAAUCAAUUUCAAGGAAGAAGAAGAGGAUGAGGAGGCUAUCCAUCAACAAAUCAAAGGCCAAAGUCAGCAGACAAGUCCAAUGUUGAAUGCUACAAAUGUCAUAGGUACGGCCAUUAUCAGUCCGAAUGUCGAACUAAUUUGAAUAGACAAAAUGGAGAAAGGACUAAUUUUACAGAAAAAGAAAAAGAAGUGUCUCUUUUGAUGGUGUGUCACAUGAGUGAAGAAACUCAACAAAACAUGUGGUAUUUAGACACUGGUUGCAGCAAUCAUAUGUGUGGAGAUAAGAAGGCAUUAUCUGAAUUGGACGAGUCAUUUCGUAGCACUGUCAAGUUUGGUGACAACUUUACAAUUUCUGUUAUGGGAAAAGGAAGGGUAAUUAUCCAAGCUAAAGAAAAUUCUUCUACCCACACUAUUACUGAUGUUCUCUUUGUUCCAAACUUAAAGACAAAUUUGCUUAGCGUGGGUCAGUUGCUCGAAAAAGGGUACGAGAUUUCAAUCAAAAAUGGUGUAUGUCAGAUUCGAGAUGCCAAGUUGGGCUUAAUUGCUCAAGUUAAGAUGACGGCGAAUCGUAUGUUCCCACUCUAUUUGCAGAACUUGACUCAUUCAUGUUUCUCGACAAAAUCGAAAGAUGUGGCAUGGUUAUGACAUUUUCGUUAUGGAUAUUUGAAUUUUGGUGGAUUGAAAACUCUGCAACAGAAAAAUAUGAUAGCUGAUUUACCUCAAAUCACAACACCUUCAGAAGUUUGUGAAGAGUGUGUUAUUGGCAAACAACAUCGGAAUAGCUUUCCAAAAGGAAAAUCGUGGAGAGCAAAAAAUGUCUUGGAGUUGAUUCACUCUUAUCUAUGCGGACCCAUAAAUCCGUCAUCUAAUGGUGGAAAACGUUAUUUUAUGAUGUUUACUGAUGAUUAUAGUCGAAAAACUUGGGUCUAUUUUUUGCAGGAAAAAUCAGAAGCAUUUUCAACAUUCAAAAAUUUCAUGACUCUUGUCGAAAAGGAAGCAGGCAAAUCAAUAAAAUUUUUUCGCAGUAAUCGUGGUGGAGAGUAUAAUUCACAAGAAUUUAUAAAUUUUUGUGAGGAGCAUGGAAUUCAGAAGCAGCUUACAACAGCUUAUACGUCGCAACAGAAUGGUGUUUCAGAAAGGAAGAAUCGUACAAUAUUGAACAUGGUGAGGAGCAUUUUGACAAAAAGUGGUGUUUCAAAAAUUUUUUGGCAUGAAGUUGUCAACUGGAGCAUUCAUAUAUUGAACAGAAGUCCCACACUUGCUGUUAAAAAUAUGACGCCUGAGGAAGUAUGGAGUGGACGGAAACCAAUAGUGGAUUACUUCAAAAUUUUUGGAUGCAUUGCCUAUGCUCAUGUUCCAGAACGAAAGAGGACAAAACUAGACAACAAAGGGGAGAAAUGCAUUUUUCUUGGUGUUAGUGAUCAGUCAAAAACUUAUAAGCUUUAUAAUCCUAUCACCAAGAAAAAUGUCAUCAGUCGGGAUGUAAUUUUUGAUGAGAAAAUUUUUGGCCAUGGAGUAGCAAUAUUAUUAAACAACAAAUACCUGCUGAUUUUGAUGGAGUUGAUGAAGAAAACAGGCAGCAGUUGGCAAAACAAAUUCCAUCAAAUGGUCCAAAUAAUGUAUCAAUUUCCCAAACAGUAGCAGAAGAUGAAGGACGGCCUCAACGUAUUAGAAAAAGACCUGCAUGGAUGAUUGAUUAUGAGGUAACUGGAAUUGAUCAAUCUGAAUACCCACUUACAUAUUUUGCACUAUUUUCCAAUUAUGAUCCUACAGUUUUUGAAGAAACUGUCAAAGAUUUGAAGUGGCAGAAGGCAAUGGAUGAAGAAAUUGCAGCUAUUGAACGAAAUAAUACUUGGGAGUUAACUAAUCUUCCAGAAGGACAAAAAUCUAUAGGUGUCAAGUGGGUGUACAAGACGAAAUUAAAGGAGAAUGGAAAAGUUGACAAGUACAAGGCACGUCUGGUAGUUAAAGACUAUAUACAAGAGUUUGGGGUGGAUUAUGGAGAAAUCUUUGCUCCAGUCGCAAGGCAUGACACGAUUAGGAUGGUGAUAGCAUUGGCAGCUCAAAAUUCAUGGCCUAUCUUCCAAUUGGAUGUGAAAUCAGCAUUUUUACAUGGUGAUUUACAGGAACAGGUAUUUAUUGAUCAACCUCCUGGUUAUGUGAAGGUUGGAAGUGAACAUAAGGUAUACAAACUCAAGAAAGCAUUAUACGGGUUAAAACAAGGCCCACGUGCUUGGUAUAGUCGUAUAGAUGCUUAUUUUUUUAAGAAAGGAUUUAAGAAAUGUCCAUAUGAGCAUACACUUUUUAUAAAGAUUGGAGAUGGAGGUAAAUUGCUGAUUGUUUGCUUAUAUGUUGAUGAUCUUAUUUUUACUGGGAAUGAUAGUGCCAUGUUUGAGAAACUCAAGAAAUCUAUGAUGACUGAAUUUGAUAUGUCUGAUCUUGGAAAGAUGCAUUAUUUUUUGGGUAUUGAAGUGGUGCAAUCUGCUGAUGGAAUUUUUGUCUCUCAAAGAAAAUAUGUGCAAGAAAUUCUGAACAGGUUUCAAAUGUCGAAUUGUAAUUCUGUUAGUACGCCAGUUGAAAUGGAUUUAAAACUCAUCAAAGAACCAGGAGGAAAGAUGGUUGAUAGCACCCUUUACAAGCAAAUUGUGGGAAGUUUGAUGUAUUUGACAGCAACUAGGCCUGAUAUUAUACAUGCUGUAAGUCUUAUUAGUAGAUACAUGGAAAGUCCAAGGGAGACACAUCUUCUAGCUGCCAAGAGGAUUCUUCGAUACUUGCAGGGAACCAUUGAGUAUGGAUUAUUUUACAAGAAUGGUGGAAAAUCAGAUUUGUUUGGUUUUACUGACAGUGACUAUGUAGGCGAUUCUGAUGAUAGAAAGAGUACGUCUGGAUAUGUGUUCAUGAUGGGUUCAGCAGCUAUUUCAUGGUGUUCAAAAAAGCAACCAAUUGUUACGUUAUCAACAACUGAAGCAGAGUAUGUAGCUGCAACCGCCUGUGCCUAAUUUGGUUAAGGAAUAUUCUUGAAGAGUUGUAUUUUCAGCAAGAAGGAGCUACUACAAUUUAUUGUGACAACAGUUCUGCCAUCAAGCUCUCUAAAAAUCCAGUUGUACAUGGAAGAACCAAGCACAUAGACGUUAGGUUUCACUUUCUAAGGGAGCUCACAAGGGAUGGAAUAAUUGAUUUUCUCUACUGCAAAAGUGAAGAUCAGAUUGCAGACAUAAUGACCAAGCCAUUGAAGUUAUUCACGUUUCAGAAAUUAAGGAAGUUACUUGGAGUCUGUGCAGUUGAUAAGUCCUAUUAAACUGAAUGUUUGAGAAACUUUCAGUUUAAGGGAGGAAUUGUUAGAAAUAUUUACCGUUAUUAAUUAAUUAAUGAAAUUAGUAGAAUUAGUGGAGUUAGUGAAAUAAUUAGUAGAGCAACUAGUGGAAUUAGUGUAGCUAAUGGAGUUAGUGGGAUAGUUAAUGGAGUUGGUUUCAACUCUAUAAAUAGAUUAAUUUCAUGUUACGAGGAAUGUCAGUUUUACAAAGAAAUAAACAUUUUGUCCCUUGCUUCUCUUAUUAUUUGCCUCAAUAUUUGUAUCAGUUUCAAAAUUGGAUCGGGAACUAACCGCUCUUAUAGAAACCCGACACGUCACCGAUGUUUUCUUCAAGGGAGGGGAAACGUUAAACAAGACAGCUUCUCAAAUGACACACCUGACACCACCGCCCAAAUUGUGGACCCGUCUUCCCAAUUUCUGCAUCGAUUAAUAAUUCAAAAACUGAACGUAAGCAAUUUCAAUUAUCAAUAGAAAAUAAGCAGAAGCCAGUUCAGUACUUUUUUUUUUAAUUUAAUUUAAUUUUUUGGAUUUUUAAAUUUCUACAGAUGUUGGACUCUGAAGUUCCGGCUGCUACUAAGAAUAGCUCAGUUAUCUCUGAAGCCGAUUCGCAGCGAACUUUGUAGUGUUUUCUCCCUCGUUCUCAUUUAAUUUAAGAAUAGGACUCUGAAGUUCAGUACUUUUUUUUUUAAUUUAAUUUUUUUGGAUUUUUAAAUUUCUACAGAUGUUGGACUCUGAAGUUCCGGCUACUUCUAAGAAUAGCUCAGUAAUCUCUGAAGCCGAUUCGCAGCGAACUUUGUAGUGUUUUCUCCCUCGUUCUCAUUUAGUACUUAAUUACUAAUUUCAUGUUUAAUUUUUAAGUGGAGAUCAGUUUAGCUUGUUUUUUUAUCAGUUGAUUUUUUAAAAAUUGUGAGACUAGGGUUGGGUUAAAGCAGAGUCGGGAAAAGGAAGUUGAAAAAACUAUCUAUUGUUACCUUUACGUUUAUUACAUGCAUGAUCAAUGUGUGGGGUUUUUUAAGUAUAGUUUUUUUUUUUUGGGUGGGAUUCAUAUGUAUAUGUUUGAUUAAAGUGGUUUUGUUAUAGGUACCCGUAUGUGACGGGGACGUCUGUGGUUGGGAUUAAAUACAAGGAUGGCAUUCUUAUGGCUGCUGAUAUGGGAGGUCAGAUCUCCUUCUCUCCAUCCAUGUAUUGACUUGCUGCAACUCAUAACUGAGUUUAUGCCCUGUUGUUUAUUUACUUACUUUUGGGGUUGGGAGGAUAUUUGUCUGAGUUAAGCUCAUGUCAGUCGGCAUGACCAAGUUAAAUUAUAUCCCAUCAAUUAUACAAGCCUCCAAUCUCAGUCUCAUUGAACUGUGGCAGGCUUCUAUGGGAAUUAGAUUAUAAGGCUUGAACUGGUGAGGUUAUAACUGUGAAGAGACGACACAUUGCUGCUAAGCUAUAUCGCUUUCUCUGCCCUCAUUGGGAAUUAUAAUUGCCUAAUCUUGAGUGAGCCGGUCCAGAGAAUCUGAGGUUGAUGUGUACAGAUAUAGAUCCAUAUUGCAUUCUUAAAUUACCAUCAUGUUAAGAACUACUAGAGUUCUUGGGGUUCAAGUUUUUCAAUGAGGACAUCAGAAGGCUGUUGGUCUGCUUGGGAUAAAGACAAAUUCAUGAGUAUAAAACAUACUAAUUAUAUCAGUCUUCUUGUGUAAUUAUGUCUUUCUUUCAGGUUCCUAUGGCUCAACCCUUCGGUAUAAGGGUGUUGAGAGAAUGAAACCAGUAGGAAAACAUUCGCUUAUUGGCGCAAGUGGAGAACUUAGUGAUUUCCAGGAGAUAUUACGUUACCUUGAUGAACUCAUGUAAGUUUUUCUUAUCCUGGAUGGGUGCUACUGUACUUAGGGCGCAAUGAAUGGGUUUUAUGUUCUGUAUUCAUGUUCCUUCAAUUUAGGGUGUGUUUGGGAUUUUGACUGCUGAUGAUGGAGAUACAAUUUGUGGUGAAAAUAGCUAUUAUCUAUACUUUGUGGAUGCAGGUUAUAUGAUAACCUGUGGGACAACGGUAAUUCCUUGGGCCCUAAAGAGGUUCAUAACUAUUUAACCCGAGUGAUGUACAAUCGCCGUAACCAGUUUAAUCCGUUGUGGAAUUCUCUUGUGCUUGGUGGAGUGAAGAAUGGGCAGAAGUAUCUUGGAACAGUAAACCUCUUUCAGUAUUAUUUUGGAUACAUAGAUUGCUAUGUAUGUAUGACUGCAUAGUAUCUACUUUUUGUUGAUGCACGUGACUUUUUUUUCCCCAGGUUAAUAUGAUUGGUGUGCAUUACGAGGACAAUCAUGUUGCAACUGGGUUUGGGAAUCACCUGGCACGACCUAUUCUCCGGGAUGAAUGGCAUGAAAACUUGAGUUUUGAAGAUGGUGUUAAGCUACUGGAGAAAUGCAUGCGUGUGCUUCUCUAUCGCGAUAGAUCAGCAGUGAACAAGCUCCAGGCAAGUUUAAUGUAUAAUUCGGGUCCUGCUGUCUGUUUGGUAAUUUACACUCAUAUGGCUGAGCUUGAGAUGUCUUGCUUGUGGCUUUUGCAUACUUGGGUAUUUGGUGAGGUGAAAUAAAAAGGAAUUGAAAUUUUGGAAUGUAAAAAAUCAAGCAUUGUCUGGCCAUUUAAAUGUUGACAUGGCACCUGACUUAUUUUCACUGAAAUGGCUACCCUUUAGGUGUAUUCUUACUGAGACAUAGUUUUUCCUUUUCCAACACCUGCUUUAGUACCAUAGGAGGUGAAUAGGUUGAAAUAAGCUUAAGCUCUUGACUCUGUAUACCAUUGGAUACAUAUUCAACUUAUUCACAAAUACUGAUUUCUAAUGGUCAAAUAACCUCAUGAAUUGUUGGUGAUAAAUUUGGAUUUUCUUCAAUACUACUAAGAAUAUUAUGCUGAGUGUCAGUGAUUCGAGUCAGCAUUUCCAGUUCUAUGGGAACAACAAAAGGGGAUAGAGUUGGAAAAAAGGGAUGGGACAGGGUGUCGAUAAAGAACUUCUCAAGGUAGUAAUGGUUGGGAAAGGUUGUUUUACUAGAUAGUCAUCUAGGCAACCAAUUUUUACUGUGGUUUCUAUCCCGUGUGAUCCACGAGCAGUCAAAGAGUCUUGAGCAAAAAACCAUGGGAGCAUGUAGAAUCAUAGAUUGGUCCUGUGAACCACAGGGUGGUGGGUUCAGUAGGGUUGUGUAAUUAGGAAAGGAUACUCAUGUGCGAGGAGUGACUUCAUCUGUGGUGAAAGGACAUUUGAUGAGUCCUAUGUUGAGCAAGGUGUCCAGUAAUGCAAAAUUCCAUCUAGCAGGGCCUUUGUGGUUUUUGUUUCCUUAAUUAUAGUCAUACUAAAUCCAACUCAAAGGAGGAACUUUGCUUAAAUAAAAGGACACUGAUGUGUCACGUGUUAAAAAAUGUUCAGCAUUGCAAUUUCGAAUUUAGUUGUGGAUUAAAGUUGCUAAGCUCUGUAGUAAAAGUGCAACCAGUUUUUUUUUUUUUUUUUUUAAGGCUUAAUUUUCAGUCAUGUAUUGCCAACAUUUCAUCCCCUUGACUCCCUCUUUAGUCUUUCACAGCUUCUCAGAGAACUAAUGGUUCAGUUAUAUUUUUAUCUCAUGCUAAAGUUGUGCUCUCUCCUUACCUUAGACUUUUCUUCUUCCUGGGGAUGUGUUGUUGCAUCUGAACUGGUUUUGCGCUGCUGCUUCCAGUUUUGUGUUUUAGACACACAUUACUUUCCUUGAUUGAAAGAUGUUGUAUUCACAUGAGUUGAUUUUGCAGAUAGCAAAUAUCACUGAGGAAGGUGUGACAAUUUCUCAGCCGUAUGCAUUGAAGACAUCCUGGAAUCUUGCUGCUUUUAAGAAUCCAACAGUUGGUGCUGAGGGCUCAUGGUAAUCAGCCACUGUGGUGCCUGAAAUACAAAUGUUGCUCAACUUUACGCUUGGCAUGAGGAUUUGCAGCAUCUUAAGUGAACAAUAUCUUUAUAAAUCAGAGUUCCUGUGUAUUAGGGUGGCUUAAUAUGUAGUCCUUGGCAGCUUUUUGUCAUUUUGCUGCGCAACUUCAAAACUACAGAUUAAGCUGGAUUUUUUUCUUUUUCCCUGAUGUCCAUUUUAUUUUGGACCAUCAAACAGUAAUUUGCUGCUCAUUGGUUUUUCUAGUUCUGUGUUCUAGUUAUUUGUUGCGGAAUAACAAGUUUUCAAGCUUUUACUUGUUGGUUACUUUGAGAUUUUCAUACAAGUGGUACUGCCAGUUUUCAUGAGUACAAUAAAAUAGACGUACGGGACUAUUAAUCUUCAAAUUUAUUGUCUAAGCCUUCCUUGGGCUUACAGCGAAAAGGCGGGAACAUCCGCAAAAGCAACUCGGUGCGCAGAAGUCGAGCACUGCGCAUGGAGUGUCAAGAAACCAGUGAUUGAAGCAGGGAUGGUUAACUUAACACUUGUACGGUUACAGUCAUGCUUGUACUCACAUGUUGAAUUGGUGGACAUGAGUGGGCACGAGUCGGAGUAAAAUUUACUCGUACAGCAAAUUUAUGUGAGUGCAUUCGUGCAACGACAGUUUGUAGCAAAACUGUGGUAAAUCUCAAUCCUGCCCCAAACCCGAGAAAACAAUUGGUUGGCUGAACAUGUCAGGUAAACAAGUAAUCCCGGAGGGUGCUAUGAUCUCAAUUCCACCAAUUCGCUGGAUGUAGGUUUUUUGUGGAUCCCCCUUAGAUCACUCUUAACUGGGUCAUUUAGCCGUUAACUCCUGAGUGUUUCUAAUCUAAUUAAUUGUCUAUCUCUUGACAGAAAAAAAAAGCUAUGAUCUCAAUUCCAUUCGUCCGUAUUCGUUUCUUUCAACAGUAGCCCUUCGGAAGAGGGGUGACAAUCGGGUCAGAAACGGGUUUGAUGAGUCGGUUUGAAAUUCGGGUAUAAUAGAUAACUUGCUAACUCGAACAUGACCCGUCAAUUCGAAAUGGGUUAGGAUAUUUGACAUGAACCCGAAUGACUUGAAAUAUAAUUUUAAUUUACUAAUUUACCACUUUAGUUUCUAACAGAACCAAUUUCGCCCAAGACUAAUUAAAUAAUCAAGUAAUAAAAAUCUCGAUAAAAUAAUUUCAAAUCAAAUUUGAAAUAAAUUAAAACACUCUAAAAGUAUUUUAUCCCAAAUCAGAUUGAAAAUAAAUUAAGACACUAUAAAAAUAGAAAAUAAUGUAAAAUAUUAUUUGUCCAAACAUAAUAAUUCAAACUUCACACAAGUUAAAUAAAUUUAUUUAGGAUUAAGUGGUUAAUGCCUUUGGGAAAAAAAGAAUAACUUAGUUUAGUUAGAUAAAAUAUUUUAUAUUUAUUAAAUUAUUUUUAAUUCAUAAGCGGGUUAUCAGGUUGACCUGAAUUUGACAUGCUUUUUUCGGGUUCAUCGAGUUCGAUUCGACUCUGAUCCGAACUCGUGAAAUCUCAAACCAAAUCCAUUAAUUUCGUGUUAGAUUCGUGUCUAGGGCUGCAAACGAGCCGAGUCGAGUCGAGCUUUGAGCUAAUCGAGCCGAGUCUCGACUAAAUUUUACCAAGCUCGAGCUCGAGCUCGAGCUCGACGAGCCGGCAAAUUUCGAGCUCGAGCUCGACUCGAAUCAAGUCGAGCCGAGCUCGAGCUCGAGCUCGAGUUCGAAAAAAAAUAAAAAAUAAUUAUUUUAUUUAAAAAAAAAUAAAUAAAAUAAUAUUUUUUCUUAAUAAAUAAUAAAAUAUUAAGGAUAUAUACGUAAUUUUACUAUAAAAAUAAAAAAUAAAAAAAAAAUAUAUAUAAUAUACGUAAUUUUAUUAUUAAACAAAAAUAAAAAUAAAAAAUAUAUAUAUAUAUACCCAAGCUCGCGAGCCGGCUCGCGAGCUAACGAGCUUAAUAUUCUGAGCUCGAGCUCGACUCGAGCUCGAUUAAUAACGAGCUCGACUUGCUCGAUUCGUUUGGAGCCUAUUCGUGUCAUGUUUUCGGAUCGAAAAUUAUCACCCAUACUUCAGAAAUGCGCCUAUUAUCGCAAAAUACCGUAGAUGAUCCAAUUAUCUGCCCAUUAAUCUCAAAUGAUAGGAGGCCCCCAUCUACCAAGUUUCUUUCGUAAAAAGGCUUUAGGUAUUAUUCAGAAAACGCGAAUAUAAUGCCGAGUAUUAUAUUGGGGAAGCCGAGUAUUGUUCGUAAAAAGGUUUCUUUCCCCAUGUUUUGCCUCCUUUCCUUAUUUUGCAGUAAGUACAAAUAAUACCUGUUCCAAUGGCUGUACCUUGGGGAGACACUGAUACGGUGGCAUUAAUUGGCGAAGCCGUCAUUGGUACCAGAUCCUCAGUCGCACAAAUUAAAGGAAGACACGUUGCACUCAUUUAAAACACCCCACAGAAUUUUUUUUUUUUUUUUUGGAAUUCCUGUUGUCUGUUCUCUACCCAAGUCCAAGUCAACUUCUUUCAUCACCUUUUUCACUUGCCAGUUACCACCGCCGCCUUGGUGGUGCCGGAGGUCAGAGUUCAACCCCGUCUCUCUCAAAUUUAUUAUAAUAUGUGACUGAUCUUAGUUGACCAUCUCCUCUUAUUCCUUUUCCCUAGAUUAGGCUUAUAUAACAUCUAUCGUUGCAGACAAAAAAAAAAAGUCACCAUCCUCAAACAAUUCCUAUUUAGAAAGAUUUUAGCAAAUGGAUGCCCAGAAAUAUUUUCAAAAUUUUCUGAACCAAAACUCCAAAUCAAUCUGUAAUUGUAAGUAUUGAACAUUAUACGUUUACUUUAAUUCGGACUCUACGGCUUGGAAGCAAUAAUGGAUGCCCAAACCCAAUCCAUUAACUAAACCUGAAUGAGUAAUUUUAUGGUUCUAGUUUUUGAUGAAGAUGGUUCUUCGGUGGUGAUGGCGGUAGUAACUGCAGCAGAAUAAUUGAGUUAUUGCUUUUGAAAGCGGACCACUAAAGAUUUGUUGUGUUGCUAAGGUGUUGGUGGAUUGGUCUUUCGGACCGAUAAUUAACGUGCGACCGAGCGAGGAUUUGAACCCAGCAGUCAACAGUUUAAACUUGGGUUUUGAGUUUCCAGAAACAUAAAACGAUACCUUUGUUUCAAGGAUUACGUUCACAAAUUGAGAUUUAGCAGCAUCAUAAGCGCAACUUUAAUGGAAUCAGUAGCUAGUCAUGCAAAGUUGCAGACAGAACAAAAAAUAGGCACUACAAUUUUUAAGAGAGAACACGUACAUCUUCUCAACAUCAUUCUUGUAUCCAAGAAAGAGAUCAUAUGGUAGAAAAUUACUUUAAGAGAGAAGUGAUUAAUAAGGCCACACGUGUGUGAAUACAGCUGAGUGUUUUGCAAAUAUAGCUUAAGAGUAAUGGCAAAUGCAUAUACCUGAUCAAGUAAUACGAAUUACUACAAUCAAAUAAUUUACUGUGCAGGCAAAGUGGGGAGGGAUACGGCCAUACGGGUUUGGAUGCUUGUCAGUAACAAUCAUUCAGAAUAAUAAUUUUUUGAAUAAGGUAUAAUUUUACGUGAACUACUUAUAAAACUUAACAAUAAAAGCAUAAUUAUUACAUAUGUAACUCACAUGCACACCUCUUCUAUUAUGAAGAGGUAAAAGAAAUUUACAUAUCGUUCCAAAAAAAAUUACACAUUUCAGGCACGCUUGUACCUGCCCCGCAUCAAAGUGGGGAGGAGUGUCGGUACUAGUAUAUACUGUAGCUUGUCUUUUCUCUUUUGGUAAUUUAAGAGAUGUUGGCUCGCGAGGGAUGAGCAUUGAUCUGUAGGCUUGCGAGUUGCGGAAAGAAAACAAGAAAGAGCUACAGCCAUUGGUUUGACGUUGACUCUACUGAACAAAAUAGUUCUCAGCAUAGUGAUAUGCAUGAGAAAGCCAAAAUGGAGUCCCGGUUAGAUUAUGCAGGUACCUUUUAAGUUUCAGGAAUCCGCAGAACGGAUGUCUUCUCUUACUACAUACACUAAAAGUGUCGGUGAUUUGUUCAGUAGCUAAAAUGGAAGCAUCCAAAGCAUAAGGUGAAAAGAAACAUUACCGAAGUGUGAACAUGUAAACUUGAUAAUGGUAAACUUCUGGCACAGGCAGCCACAUGGAUCAAAGAACAAAACUGCAGGAAUGUUGGGGCUGAUGGGUCAGAUGCAAUUCGUGAAGGAAAAUUAUGGAUAUAGUAAAUUCAAGCCGUAAGAAGAUGAGGGAAACAAGAUAUGACCAUAGGGACCGCCGUUUUUGACCAUUUCCUAGUCCACAAAAUCUGCACAACAUGAACCCUGUGAACGAAAACAACUAGUAUAAAUUUCUUGUAGAAAUUGGAAAAGUAAACAUAAAAGGGACAUGGCUGCAAAGAUAUAAGGUUCCUGACGCAGAGAGAUGGCAGCCAAUGACCCUCCCUAUCUCCAGACUCUAGAAACCGGAAUAGUCAUGGGCGCCAUCUCUCCUGCGUGAGGAACCUCUCAAUGCUUCUUUUCUUCUUUGUUCCAUCCGCGAGAGCAUGUGGCCAAGUCCCUACUCAGUACAUUAUUUAUAGAGAGUUCACUGCUGAAAAAUAUAACUUUAAGACCGUGUAAAACUAGGCUUGCUGGGCAUGGCCCCCCGGAUCGAGACCCAGCCUUAUGCUAUUUUUGCAUUUCAUUUAUUUAUCAACAGAAGUCGCUUGCAUGAUUAACUUCUGUCCCUACUGCUUGUGGUCUUCGUUUCGUUGUUGUCGUUAAAUUAAACAUGGACAGGUCCAGCGAUAGAUGGAAUUGACGUUUGCAUAAUAUCAGCAGCUGAAGUCAGUUGCUUACUCAAAAAACUGUUGACAAGAACAUCACCAUCAAUUAAUUAGUUUACUCCUAAUCUCUGCUAAAGCUAGAUGCCUGGUUUUGGUUAAUAUCGAUGCAUCUUUCUAGUUUGUGUUUUUUUUUGUGUUUCUAUACAAGGGAUCUUUUUGUUUGACAAUUUCAAAGCUUAGACGAUCAUUUCGUGAUUGCAUCAUAUAGAGAUGACAACUAACGCUUAACAAAGGUUUGAUUGGACAUUAAAAAUUCAAGGGUGAGAAAAACUAGGAAGACUCGAAUGGAUUAAUUGGCAGAAAGAACAGAAUUAGAAAAACAAAUGUAACCGUUUCGGUGGAUCAAGUGAAGAGCACAUUACUCCGACUGGCAUAGGAAGGGUUGGCACUUGAUAGUGAGCGCCUUAGUUAAUAUUGCUACUAAUUAACCAGGUAUUUCUACUGCCUAUUUUGAAAUGAUUGAGGGAAGUACACGUGUGAUGCACGCAUUUGCGGUCAGUGUUGCACUAUCUAGUUGUUAAAGAAUUCUGUGGAGAAUUCAAGUUGACAAGUAAGCCACCAAUUCAUGCAAUGCCUCUGGAAGGGGAACGAUGUUGGAGAAUUUUCAAAAUUUGGUCAUUUGUAUGUCUGGUUCCGACUUCGAACCCGAUAUAGGUCCAUCAUUGUUUGAUUCGUGCAACGGUUAGAAGUUGUUCAAGUUUAUUGUUUGAUACGUUUUCAUGUUUUUGAUAGUUAAUUGCCAUUCAAAUGAUGUUUCAACAUUAAAAAACUAUCUGAAAACUUGCAUUAGUGUUGAGGAAUCUUUUGACCAACACAAUUCAAAGAAAAGUCACAAUUAGUGGAGAAAGAUUGCAGCUCUUGAUCAUUCUCAAUCUUAAUUCUAUAGAGGUCUAUCAGUGAUGAUUUGUUGAAAAAUAUCAUUUUCCUAUUAUUGGAAUUCUUUGCAAAAGCACAACAUAAUUUAAGUAGGUUUGUUUAGCUUUAUGUAAGAGUUAAAGACAAAUACCUUUCAAAUUAUUCUAAAGAUUAUUUGUUCAAGUUCUUUGUACACUGAUUUCUGGACAAAUAAAGUCUAAAGGAAAUUGAUUCGAACAAAGUGAUUCGAAUCACAAUUUGAAAUCUUUUUGCAUCAUUUGUUUUGUAACUUUUUGUCACUUUCUCUUGUAUUAUCCCCAACAAAUGGCACCGUGAAGGCCUCUCUAGCCUUGAAAAGGUUCGUACAAGAGCUGAAGUACAAAUUGUGUGUCUUGUGCGAUUCCAUUCAAUCGUUGUACAUAUUUAAAUUUUUAGUGUAUAAAUAUAUCACAAUAUUUUACCGAAUAUAUGUCAAAUAUUUUAUUCAUAUUCACCAAUUUUACCUUGAAUGCAAUAAUAAUGUGAUAUAAGUGUACAUCAACUAAUAUUAAAAGUGUACAAUAAUUAGACCCCAACCAUAUCCAAUGCACUGCCCCUCUCCCAAAAAAUUCAUAGGGAUGGACCCGUAAACACAAAAAUGUGUCUAUUCAUGCCACGAGCUUAUCCCCACUCUAGACGCCAGGGACUUGUCCAAGCACUGUCCAUUUCGAGCAAUGGCAAAUUGGAUAUGUCGAUUAUGGCGGCUGAGUGAUUUGACUGCCAAGAAACGGUCAUCUUAGCUGUGGUAUAGGUGCUCUCCAGUUGGAAAUGGUUUCUAGGCAACAUAAUUGAUAAUUGGCCUUGUCUUAGCUUCAUCCCAUAGUCGCAUUAACGGCUUAUAAUUUAUAAUAAAAACAUAACCAGAACCCAUCUCCAGUUGAAUCGCGAGGGCUUUAAGCUUGUAAAAGUUUAAACAUGGCGUGAUCAUCAUGGACAUGGCCAGUAAGACUAAUCUCUUUUUAGAAUAUGCUCCCUAAGUUUGGUACAGCUUAACCAAUGGAUGGACAUGGCCUCUUUGUGGGAUUUUCGUCUGACUUCAGCAGAUGCCACUUUGCAUAUAAAUAUGAUGCGCUAGACUCCAUUGUGGGAUAUCCUUUUUCAACUGAUAACUUUUAGCAUGUCCGAGGAAGGAGCAAGUAGAUCUGGGAACGAGGGCGGCGGAAUUUCAUGCUUGUAAUAUUUAAUGUUUGGUUUUGGGAAGAAAUGGUAGGUUCUGUCUGCACCAAAUUAUAUAUGGAAGACUUUCAAGCUUGAAUACUGAUGCUACUCUCUCUCCCUCUCUCUCUCUUUUUUAUUUUUUGUUAUUAUUUAUUAAAACACCGACGCAACAUGAAAUAUGUUUGAAAAUAGAGUCGAAAAGCGAUACUGAUGCUACUUUCUCUCUCUCUCUCUGACAUUUCUUGACUACAGCAGAAAUAUUUUACUACUUAAUACAUUAAAUACGGCUUAAUUUGUGUUUAAAACUUUAAGAGAAAUACACAUGUUCUCGUACACAAUAAAUUCUCGUACAUAUAAUUUUUACGUGAAAUUACACAAAACCACCUUACAGUUUGGCUCAUUACCACAUAACCUUCUUAACAUUUCAAAAUAUCCACUUAACCAGGGCUAGAGUCAAGACCUCGUGGUAAGUGGGGUCAAAUGAGGUAAGUGGGGUCAAAUUUUAAUACUCUAAACCUUAGAGUCCAUUUUGAUUGCUAGUUUUUUUGAAAUUUUUGUAAGAAAAGUACUACAUUGAUUUAAUGUAUUUAAGGUAAAAUGAUAAUUGAAAAAUAUGUUCAUGAAAAAUAUAAAUUUUUUUUAAGAAAAUCCAAAAUUUUUUGGCAGUGCAUUAAAGCUUUUAUAAAGAAAAAAAUUAGAAUAAAAAAAUAAAAACUACUACCAUUAUAUACAUAUUAUUUUUUUAAUAGAAGCAAGUUUCAUUAACGGAUUGUUGGAAAUCAUCCAUCAUGAUUUGAUUUGUAUUACCGUCCUAAUAGCAGAUUAAAUAGACACUAGAAAUAAUAUACCUGCAGAUUAAAUUUUGUAUUAUACAUAAAAAAUUUAGCAUCCAUUUGAAAAAUUAUUGUUUUUGGAAACUUUGAAGUUUGAAAGAAUUGAUUUUCCCACUCCACUCAAGAAAACUCAUCUCUUAUUUUUGGAAACUUUGGAAGAAUUUAUUCUUGUAAUAACUUCCAUAAAUAACUUGAAUAAAUUCAAAAUUCUUGUGAUGGUAACAAUUAUACAUUUUCAAUUGUUUGGGGGUCAAUGUGUAUAGAAAAGAUAAUUUGUUAAAAUUUACUAGGAUCAAAUAAGAUGCAAUUUUAAAAUUUUCUAAAUCUAAUCCAAAGUUAAGUGGGGUCAGUUGACCCUACUUGCUUUCACAUGGCUCUGCCAUUUGCACCUAACCCUCUUAUAGUUUUAGUAAAACGGAAACUUGAUUCAAAAAUAGUUUCAUGUAAUAUUGUUAACUAAAAUACCUAUAUUGCCCUUACUUAAAUAAUGACUUGAUUGCCUUGUAUAAUUAAUAAAAUCGUAGGGGAUUAUGUGGAUAAGUGCAAAAAUCAUAAUGAAAUUAGGUGGAUAUUCGUGCAAAUUAUAGGGAGUUAACUGGCUAUUAUGAUUCUGUUGUGCGCAUGUUUUUAGCUCAUCUAGUUCAAUUGACAUAACCGAUCGUGUAUUCUACCUAUUUUUCACUCUAUAUAAAUUCACAGGAGGAUUAUAAUUAUUUUGAAACCUUAGGGAUAACGUGGCAUUAGACAAAAGUACAAGAGAUUACAUGUAACGUACCCCAAUUCUAUCACUAGAACGGGAAUGUCAUCAUGCUCAAAUUGUUGAUCUCUCUUGCUCCUUCUUUUCCCUCCGGUUCUUUUGAAAAAGUGCUAUGCAAUCAUGCCUUUUCUUAUGGGAAGAUAGGUGGUUCCGAUGUUUGUUUCUUCUGGAGCACUGAGGAUGAAUGGUAGCUUCAGUUGUGGAAGUAGUUACCAGUUUGAACCUGAGUUUUGAUCAGAAACAUAAACUGCUUAAGGAUUAUGUUUACAAAAUAGAGAUUUAAUAGCUUCAUAACCACAAUUUAGUCAGUAGCUAAUUAUGCAACUCGCAAUUGGGAGUUUAAACAUUCAAGAUCUACUAUCACAACAUCCUCGGUAAUUAGCUCAUUCAUGCUAGUAACACUUUACUAAAAUCACGUCUUCACAACAUCAUCAUCGUACUUAAAUACUCUUGAGCCCUCUCCUUUCUCCUUUCUUCAUUGUACAGCUUGAUGAAGGCUUCCUUGCAUCUUUAAAAAAAAAAAAAAAAAAGGAAAUGGUAUUAGAGAAUAUAUAUAUAUAUACCAGACAUGUAUCACUACCUUAACUUAACGUUGAGUUAUCGUUAUGAAAUGCAUUAGUAAUGGCAAAUGAUACCUCUUCACUUGAAAGUUGAAACGAAUGACUACAGAAUCUGAUGCACAAUUUACUGUGCAUAGAAAUUGAGGAGGAGUGUCGGAUAAUAGCUACGGACAUAGCAUAUAUGGCGUAAUCUUUUCAUUUGGCGAUUUAGGAAACAUGGCUAAUGGAGGCUCAGCACUCUGGAGGUUGUAAGUUCGCGGAUCGGAAAGAAACCAAGAAAGAGCGGAGCUGCAGCCGUUGGCUUCCGUUGACUCCACUCAACGCAUAAUUCUCAACAUAAUGCCUUCUCUGACUACAUAGUAAAAGUGUCGGUCAUUUUUUCAGUACCUGAAAUGGAUGCAACCAAAGGAUAAGCCAAAGAAGAAGUACCUAAAUGAUUUUCUAAAAUUUGAUAUUUCUCCAUAAUUAGCACAAGCAAGCUUACAGAUGAAAGAACGAACUGCAUCUGAAAGGUCGAGGCUAACAAAUGGGAUGCAUUUCGUGAAGGAAAAUUAUGGGUAUAUAUUACAAUCAAGCAGUAUGAGAAACUAUCGAGAAACUAGAGGAAACCGAAAGACCGACUUAAAUUUACCAUUUUCCGGUACACAAAUCUGCAGCCAGAUGAACCCUUUGAGCAAAACCAACUAAUUUUUUUUUUUUUUUUUUUUCUAGAAAUAGCUAGGGUAGUAAAUAACAUAAACGCAUACAUAAGGCUGCAAAGAUACAAGGUUUCCUUAACGCAGGACGAUGACACCGACGACCAUCCCUAUCUCUUGGCUGUAGAAACCGGAAUAAUCUUCGGUUUCAUCUCUCCUGCGAAGGGAACCUCAUCUUCGUUGUUCUAUACUCAGAAAUAUGUGGCUAAGGUCCCUACUCGAUAUUUUUUAGAGAUUUACUGGAGGAAUGAAACGUUACUACUGUCUAAUAUGUUUUGCUUGGUCUGGCCCCAAGAGACCCAACCUUACGACAUCUUUUUCUUUUGCAUUUCACUUAUCUUUAAGGGGCUCGCAUGCUUAAUUUCUGUCCUAUGGUGGUUGCCAUCUUGUGAUUGUCGUACAAACAUGGACAGAUGUCAUAGAGAUCUGGCAAUGGACAAAGAUAAUGACAAAUUGUAUUAUGUCAGCUGGCUGAAGUCAGCUGCUUGCUAAUAAAAAGUUUACACCACCAUAUCAGACUAUCAGUCUCCCGAAAAUUAUAUUUGCCCUCCAGUUAACACCUCUAACACUCCAAUCAUUUAUUUUAGGGUUAUUAUCCGUCUAUCCCCUUAAACUAUAUCACUACUAUCAGUUUAUCUCUUAACGUUAUCUUUUAAUCACUUUACCCCUAUAAGUAAUUCAACUCAACAUGUUAAUAAAUUUUGGACAAAAAUAUCCUUUUAUUUUAUAGCAUUACUACGUUGUUAUUAUCAUUUUAUUCGUUUGAAUUAUAGUGAUACAAUCAUUUUAGUUCCUAACAUUAUUUUUUAGGCAUUUUACCUCAUCAUUAAUCUAACUAGUAUGGUCAAAAAAUUUUAAAUAUAUUUAUCCUUUUUUAGAUAUAAUUAAAAAUAAAAAGUUAGAAUGGUUAUUCUUCUUUUUUUUUCACUUUAAGAGAUCGAAAAACAUAAAAAUAAAAGAGUUUUCUCAAAUUUUUUUUUCACACUUAUUAAUACUAGGAAAAGAAAAGGAGAUAGGAAAGAAGGAGACAACAAAUUAGAUUUUGCAAAAAAUUAAAAUAAAGAAAAGUCUAACAUUAUCGUAUUACUUUAAGGUUUUCGGGAUUAGAAUUGAAAUUUGGUGGUAAACGAAAAAGUGAAAUAAUUUUAAAAUAAUAAAAGUAUUUAAUUCUUUCUUAUUUGUAAUUUUUUUUUAAAAAAUUGAGUUCUCUCUCUCCCCCUCCCCCUCUCCAUCUUUCUAUUUUUUUUUCAAUAUUAAUAAGAUUGUCAAGAAGAAAAAAAUUAAUACUUUGACUUUUUUUCUUGAUAUUAAAAGGAGAAGAGUCGCUCUAAAUUUUUUGUUAUUUUUAUUAUGCAAAGAGAAUGGUAUUUUCUUCUAAAGUUUUUUAACUUGCUAAGUUGGUUUAAUGGUAGGAUAAAUUAUCUAAAAAAUAACUCUAUGAGGUAAAUUGAUAAUGAGACUAUAUUUUAUGGGGGUAAAGUGAUAAUAAUUUUAAGGGUUAAACAUGUCUUUUCAUUUUAAUUAACAAACUCCGUUAAGUUUGGCCGUUAGUCUUGAGGGUAAAGUGACUAAAAGAUAACGUUAAGGGGGAAAUUGAUAGUAACACCAAACGUUAAGGGGGUAAAGUGAUAAUAACCCUUUAUUUUAUGUUCCUUGAGUUUCCAAAAUGCCCUCUUUUGUCCAUUGUUUAUGGCAUUUCUUCUAUGCUUAUUCAAGUCCUAGAUUUAUGCUUGUUACUUUUUCGAAUCAAAAUCAUCCCUUUUCAUCAAUUCAAUGUAAUCUUCUACUCACAAUCUAAACAAAUCAUUACACCAGAAUUUUAAUCUAGCCUCAAAUGCAUUUAAAUAUCACAAGAAUAACCUCCAAUUACAAUAAUGUAUCUUGUAAACACAUCAAAAAAAAGAGAGAGAGAGAAAGAAAAUGCUGAAAAGUGGUCACAGAUUUAUUCACGUCCUAGUCUUCAGAAACAACUGAAGACAGAAUUCGAACCAAAACAGAAGGCAAAAGCCGAACACAGGAGUGGUGUGCUGUGAAAUGGUGUGCAUCAUUCCAGCAUCAAUGUGACAAAAAACAACCCUUCUAAAUUCUAAUCAAAACCCAUGAUCAUGUCACUGCCAAAGCUCCUGAUCAUUUUUGGUACAGCUCUCUCUUCCCUACUACUAGGCUUCGUCGGCUCGCCCUCGCCCGAUGGUGCAACAGGUGAAGAAGGUAAGAUUGUGGAUUCGCGCUGAGCGUCGAGGAUUUCUCCGAGCCUUUCCUCAUCCACACCAAAUGCAGCUGCAAGUUCAGGUCCCCUCAUGUUAUCUAGAAGUGAAUUUGCUCCUACCAAGAACUGGGGCCGGUUGUCUCGCGAAGAUGUGGUGAAGCCGAAGAACUCAAACGGGCCAGCUCUUGAUGCAAUUUGGCAGAAUGGGAAGUACCUAGGAAUCCAAAAUGCAUCUCCCUCUUUCACUUGUGCAUCCAUUGCCAAACUUCCAUUCGGAAAGACAAUCUGGAUUCUACCGGUUCCUCUCAAAACUAUUCCAUACUCGACUGCUCUUGGAUUAACGUGGGGUGCCAUCAUUGAUCCCUAGAUUCAUCGAACAAAUAGCACUUUGAUACCAUAAUACAGUCUUGACAAAAUAUUAAGCCAUAUAUAUAGUCUAAGAAAUGCGUGAAGGGGUGCAGCAAAGGAAAAGAAUUUACCGCGGUAAGAUUGACGAGGUAGACACCAAUAUCAGAGUGGCGAAGAGGAGAGUAAUCAUUUUCGUCCACGGCUUUGCUCCAUCCAUAAUCGUUCUUGAAGUCGGCUUUUCUUUCGUAAAUGUUGCAAGCCUCUGGGCCUCUCCCUCUGCCUCUCGUGUCAUCAUCUCUAUUCUUUUCCUCCCCGAAGAUUGAUAUCAAUAGCUUCCUGAAUGACCAAGUUGGCUGCUCUUCGUCUUGGUUUGCCUCUUCUUCAGCAUGCACGAUUCUCUUCAAGUGAGCUAGCCUCUGAUGCUCUUUUAGGUCCAAGAAUUUUGACCACAUGCUUGGUGCACUAGAAUCAGAUAAAUACACGAUUGGGCCUAAAUGUUGCCUUGUCAUGAAAUCUCUCAAUUCAUCCACUGAGACCUGUUGAAGAAAUUUAUUGAAGAAAAGGUAGCAACAAUGAUUGUUUUAGGAAACAUUUCUAAGGUUUGUACUUACAUUAAACGCAGUCGACAUUGUUAAAGGAUCGAAUCCAGAGAGUAUAGAUGUGGGAUUUGUUCCUCCACCGACGAAGAAAGACUGCAGACAGAUCAUGUGUGAUUAAUUAAGACACGGCUAACAGAUAAUCAUGCUAUAAAAUCGAAACAGAACACAGAAGUAGUAACCCGGAAGCCAUGCUGAUGCCAAUGCCAUCCAUAGUUCUCGGACGUUUCAAUGCUACAGAUUAUGUAAAGCUUCUGGCCUUCUGCGGCGUUAACCAAGUAGAAUGCAGAACCAGAUGCAAUUCUAUACAGAUCCCCAGUCUUCAAAUGCCUUUCUGCAAAAUCAUCCUCGUAGACGUGUCCAAUUCUUGCUUCCCCUGAAAUAUCAAAUCCGUUUAUAAAACAUAAAUCAUCUAAACCAAUUUGCAAUUACAGAGAUGAUAAACAUAAUUAAUAAGAGGUUUCCAUCCCAAUAUGGCACAGCUGGUCAACUGAAGAAGAUGAGACACUUUGUCAUUACGUUGAUAGUUACUAGGAGACACAAUCAUGGACUAGCUAGAAACUUCUCUAGUUCUCUCUUGCCGUAAACAUAUGAACAUAAAUCCUUAAGUAGUAGAUCAUAUCAAUUUCAUUUGAUGCUUCAAUUUUUCGAUAAACUAAGCUCCAUAUUUCUAAGGAUAUUCAAUAUAAGUAAGUGAGGACGUAGUCUAACAGUGUCGAGUUCACAACCAAGAAACUCUUGAGAGUUGAGAGGGACUGAGAGAUCAAAAGAAUACCUCUACGGACGAAGAGGAUGAGAUUGGAAUCAAGAUACUGAGGGAUGAAAAGACUGUUUGGUUCCAUAGUAAUCAAGCCCAUAUGCAUUGGACUUCUCCAGAGUCUAUGACCGCCAUUCCUUAUCACCCUCAUAUGCCCAGCAUCAGUUCUCACCACAUCCAGUGACUCCCGCAACAAGAACCUGCUGUUUCCCCCCACCCCAGGCUCUCCUCCUUCACCACCGCCCUCCUCCCUCUCUCCUCCUUUUCCUCCUCCACCGAUCCCUGCUCCCCCUUCAUCUUGGUUAUAGAAACCACCAACAGUGGCCACCAGUGCAAAACACACCACCAAUAAAGCUAAAAACACUGCAGAAAUCUUUCCCAUGCUCAGUUUUUUCUUUUCCUGAAUUCUUUGUUUACUGCUCUUCUUUUUCUUGGGUUUUUUUUUCCCCUCACUCUCUUUGAAAUCUCUGAUUGUGUGAAAUGCGAGAGUGAAAAGGGGGUUUAAGUAGAGGGGGAUUGACGAGUGAGAAGGGAGGGAGGAGUAACAGGUGUCUUUCAUGCAGGUUUUCAAGGCUUUGCUGGCAAUAUCCAGGAGUAGCCAGUUUGCCACAGUACUAGCGUCGGGGCAUGCACCCAGAAAUAUCCGUUCUGCAUGCGAGACGAAGUCUUUCUAACCACUCCUCUCCUGCAUUCCCUGGUCUAUUAUUACUGCUUAAUUACCUAUUACCAGUUAAAACUUGGAAGAAAAGGCCCAAAGGCCUUGAAAUUUUUCUGUCGUGAGUUCUUCAUUGAAGGCAUGUCAUAUUUGUCACUUGUCUCCUUCCUUCCUGAAUACUACAAUUCCUCUUGGGCAUUCCUGAAUCAAUUGCAGUUCGUUGAGGUCGAUGAUUUAUCAGUUUCAAGAGAGAAAUAAUGAUUGGUAUUACAGUUUCAUAAUGAAUACUUGCUUGAGAAAUGGCCAUUGAGAUUGCAGGUGGGAUUGAAUAAGGGUCCUCAGUUGCCAUCAUGAUUAUAUUAUUAUUCACUUUUGUGUACCAAAAAUAGGAAAUUAGGUAAGGUACCUUGUGCUUCUUUUUUUUUUACAAGUAACACCUAUGGGGAAAAUGUUAUGGUAAUGUACCAAGGCAAAUACACCUCAACAAAUCUAUCAUUUAACACACUCCCAAAAAAUAUAGUAUAUAUCAUUUUGUUAGUCCUCUCAGCCUUUGUAUAUAUAUAUAUUUUUUGCCUUUCUAUAUAUUUUCUGUUUUAGCAGGGCAAAUAUUACAGGUAAGAUACUUGCACCAGUUAUUCGAUAAAUAAUCAAGUGGACACAAAACCAAAGCUUCCAAUUCAAGGGCAGCCAUUCUUUGCCCAAUUUUGUCCCAAUUCCUAAUUGUUGCUAACUGAACUCCAGUUUUGUAAUGAAACCAUUCGAUCCAAAGAAAUAAUUACAGCUUUCUAAGUUGAAAUAAGUUUAAACAAGUAAUAAAAGAACUUGUCACCACAGUCUGAUCAAUUUUGUCAAUAUUAGGCACACAUUGAUGGAGGGGGGAAAAACCACCAAAUGGAUCAUAUUGACCAUCUCGUUUAACCUUUUUGGUCAAAUAUAUUUUAAACUGUGAAUUCGUUAUUCAGGAGAACAAUUAUCGGGAACUAGUAGGAAAAGCAUGCUCCACGUAGGCCUGUCAACGGGUCGGGUCUAGACCCGGAUCCGUGAAAUUAUUGCGGGUAUGGGUAGGGAUUUAAUUCCGUUUCCUGGAUCCGGAUCCGGAUCCGGAUCCGUUUUGUCAAACAAAAAAACGGGUCGGAUACGGAAUAUAGUAUUCCGGCUUGUAUUAGACCCGGAUCCGGAUAUAAAUGAAUUAAUAAUUUAAAAAAUAUAUAUUUAUCAAUAUAAUUUGAUUAGGGUGAUGUAUUUGAAUAAACUCAAUUUGAUUUCUUUUCUUAUUUGGUUUUUUCUUUGCAUUAGUUAGAAAUUAGUUUACAAAUAUAUUUUUUUCUCAUUUUUAUUAGAAAUUAUAAAUUUUGCUAAAUUUGUUCGGGUAGACCCGACUCGGAUCCGGAUCCGGAACAUAUAAUAAAAGACCCGUCGGGUAAACGGGUCGGAUCCGGGUCCGGUAUAGUAAUUCGGGUCCGGAUCUAGAAUAAUGAAUUCCGGCCCAGACCCGGCCCGUUGACAGCCCUAGCUCCAUGGACGUGUAAUUUAAAAAAAAAAUUAAAACUUUCGUAUAAUGAAGUUAUUGAGAGUUUUUUUCUUUAUAAAAAAUAAGUUAUUAGAAGUUAAAAUUAUUAAAGUUACUAAAAUUAUUGUUUGUAAUGGUUAUAUAGUGUAAAUCCUUACCUAUAUGAGAGUAAAAAAGGAAUAACAAAGCGUGACAAACAAUUUUAGGGAUAAUAUCAGAAACCUCCCUUGAGGUUUUCCUUAUUGUCACCUGGCACUCCUAAGGUUUUAAAAAUAUCACUUACCUCCCUUACUUUUGUUAUUUAUGUUACAAAAUUUUUAUAAACCCUAAACUACCCUUUCACUUGUUAAAUAAAAAUAUUCCUAAUCCACUUUGUUAAUUUCAAGAAAACCAUCAUAUAAAAAACAAUCUCUUAUAGUACUACAUCAUAAUGCUAUACCCUGUGAAAAUAUAAAUUUACAAAAAAAAAAAAAUAUUUGAAAAGAAAUACACUUGCACCAAUUUAAUUCUAUAUAUUCAAAAUCGAUUUCUUAUGAACUUUUAUAUUUUUUUCAACAUCUUUUGAACCCUUGCCCAAACAAUUAAAUUGUACCAAUCAUUCUAAAAAUCAACUCAAAGUAAGCAAAUAAAUCAUACUCCACUUUAUCACAAUUACAAAAAAUAAAAGAUAAAAAAAUUUAAUCUAUUAUAAUUUAUAAAUAAAAUAUUACAUAGUCAUCUAAAAAAUGAGUAAGAGAAAAUGAUGGAGAAAAAGAAAAGAGAAAUAAGCGACUUUUUUUAUUUUUUUUUCAUUUAUUUGAUAUGUGAAUUAUGUGUCAAAUGAGGGUUAAUAUAGUCUUUUUACAAUUAUUCGGGGAGGUAAAUGAUAUUUCAAAAACUUCAGGGGUAUCAAGUGAUAUUAAGAGAAACCUCAAGGGAGGUUUCUGAUAUUAUCCCAAAAUUUUAACACCAAAAGAAUCUCCCAUGCCUUAUAUUUAGAGAAACAACUUACUAAUAAGAAAAGCGCUCUGUCGGGAAAAUACAUUCUUCGUAUAGAAGCUGUGGCUUUCUUUUUUUUUUGAAUAAAAGGCCAAGUCCAGAGUCCAGACCCAAUAAUUCGUUUCUUCGCCUGUUGGUGGCGUUUCCAACGGUCACUGCCCGCAAAACUCGGUCCCGACUCAACACCAUCAUCAUCAUCAUGACCAAGUCCCCAACUGACUCCCCUUCAACCCAAGACACCACCACUCGUACUUGUUCAACCCCUGACAUCCCAAUUGAGAUCAUCCCAGACGAAGAAAUGGCCCUCAUUGAAGCUGCUUUCGCCUCUGCAACUCGGACCAUUUCCUCCUUGACUCGAUUUCAAAGAAAUAUUACAGCUCCGCCUAAUGAUAAUAUACGGUCUAUAAAGUCCAUAACUUUAUUGUCCAAAAAGCGGAUUUCCAGAUGUAGCCGAACUGGGUCUGACUCGGUGGCAGAUAUAGAGGACUCGGGUGGUGAUGAUGGGCUAACUCAGAAGAAGAAGAAGCAGAAUCGAGUUCACGGCUCACUUUUGCAUAAAUUUAGGAGGAAAAGAGGCUUAUCUGUUACUGAUAUUACUGCCGGGGUACAUAUCUCAUUAAUAUUUUGUUCCCUUCGUCUUUUAUAAAUAUUGAUGCUUUUUUGCUAUUCGGAUUCGAAGAAGAAGGUUUGUAAAAUUUCUGAUUUUUUUGGGUGAUGUUGAUGCUGCAUUGCUGCUGUUCUAUGAAUAGCGAUUAACUCCAGUUGGCUUUUUUGGCUGAUAUUUUUAAGAUAGAAGAAAUAAACAAUGCAUUGUCAGUCCAAUUUUAAGUAGUAUUUAGUAGUACUACGUAGCUCAAAUGAAGGCUUUCAAUGAUUUGGAAUUUGGAGAUUGUUGAAUUUUGCAGCUGAGGAGGGGCAAAUGGGAUAUACCUAGGAGUUUAGGACCUAACAGCUAUUUUAGAGAUCACAAAAUUACUACAUUUUAAAAUUCAUCGUGGGGAAAUGUUGUGCUUGUGAUGGUCCUGUUGCAACAUCUGAUUGAAUCUGCUACUCGUAGAAUCGAAAUUGAUAUCGUGCGUGGACUUUCAGGAAUGGUGUGAGAAACAAAUGGAGUUUACUCUGAACCUUGGCAGAGCAAAAUCAAAUAAAGCUAUGGAAGCUGGUAUUGCUCGCCAUGCAGCACUUGAAGAAGAGGUAGUCUACGAUCUCCUAAUGGACCUUACAUAUGGAUAAUGCCCAUGACCUGUCAAGCUUCAACUUUUUAACCUUCCUAUUCUAAGUUAGCCUUACCAUCUUCCUUUUUUAUAUAUGUCCAAACCCUGAAAUCAAUGUGUUUUUUGUUAUGAUUCUGGUUAAUUAUGUUUGGAUUUUAGCUGAAUGAAAUAGAGCACUAUCAAUUAGAGAACAGAAUAUUUUUCGUGGAUAAUUAUCAUUUUAGUCUUUAUUUAUUCAGAUUGUUGCCUGACCUUCGAUUGUAUGGUUGCAGGUUGUCAAAAAGGUCAAAAUCCAUGUUGCAUCCGUUGAAGACACAUGGGCUGUGAAGUUUAUGAAUUUUAUACUUGGGGCAAAUCAGUUGCUAUUUGAUGGACUGACGCGUGAAUUGCCUUUGUAAGAUUCUCGUGUAUUUUAUGCAUUUUAUGAUUUCUUCUGCCCCUUUCCUCUUGUGUGCAUUCUCAGUUUCUUGCACACCAACACGUUCGCACAAACAUGCACCUUGUUGUGUGCAAAGCUCAUGCUUCCAGACACUGCAUUUCAUUUAUUGGGUGAUUCUGGAGUAUAAUAGGUCUUCUUGUGAUCUGAUGGCCUGGUAAUACCACCAGAGUAAGCUUUGAAGAAGGUCUAUGGAUGGUGGGAGUAAUUGAUGAAAUUCGAAUGCCUGUUACAGAAACUGAAAGAUAUCCUACAUUAGUUGAUACAAAAACUCGUGCACGAGCAAAGCUUCCUACUGAAGCACAACAGAGAAAUGGAAGGUACUAUCAAGUGUGGUUUUUGGUCAGGUUGCUGAGGAAGAUACCAGCUAAUAGCAUUGCUUCUUGAAAUUGAAGCAAUACAUUUUUCUUGGAGAUCAAACAAAAAUGGUGAUGAAGUGCAUAUUUCUUUUGACAGGCUUCAGUUGAUGUGCUACAAGCGUCUGUGGGACAAUUUAGUGGCUGAUAAAUUUCCUUCUGGACAGUUUUUUGAUUUCUUUGCUUUGAAUCCUCACGUCAUUCUUUCAGAUGAGAUCAGAGAGCACACAGCCAAAUCAGGUUUUCCUGCAGAUGUAUGAUGCUUUUCUUUCUUCGCCUUUGACUUACUUGAUUUAGGAGUCCAUUACAUUGGGCAUUUAACUACUUGAUCUCACUAAUUUAGACGAGAAUUUUUCUCCAUGCAAGCCUGUAUGAUGAAGUGACACAUGUUGAAAUGUUCUCUUCCAGGAACUUUCCUGCUCUAUUUCUUGCUGCUGAUAUAGCAUGUAUAUGAAGUGAGACGUUGAUAAAUUGGAUAGUGUUCUAGUCCUGUAGUAAAAUAUCAAUUUACAUAUCAUUGUGGCUCAGUAUAAGGGAUUACCUGUAAUAUACCCAUUUAUGCACUUUGAGUGCUUAUUUUUGUGUUUAAUUGAACAUCUUAUCCUUUGCAUUUAUGCAGACUCUGAAUGAUUUGGUGGCAUACUAUCGAAAUACUUGUUGUAUGCUGCCUCCAGCUCAGGACCAACUGUUACUAAGGUUGGUUAAGGAUUUCCAUGUGUGUUGUUAGAUAAGCGUUAUAUGGACUGCCGAAUUUUUUCUCCAUCUCCUAGCAUGGCUUCUGGUGAUGAAUUUUAACCAAUUUCAAAAGAAGACAGCACUGACGUUUCAUAUGAUCUGUGCUCUUCAUUUCCUUUUCAUGUUUUCUGACCUCCUUCCCUCCACAUCUUCCCCAAAAUUUUCCACUUUCAGCAUGUUUUACAACAAUAAAAUCCAUAGGUCUAGUUUCUGCCAUUUGCCUAUAUUGAUGAGUAUUCUGAGCGCUAAGAAAAAAGAUUUGAGGCCAUGUCCACCCAGUGACCUUAGGCAGACUAAAAGUUUACAAGUGCUUUUCUUUUUCCUAGAAGAUAUUUCAUUUGCCCUUUAUCAAGUGCCUACUACUAUAUAGAAGAAGUUGAGACUAAAAACGAAGAGGGACUUGCAGAAAUUAAGCUUGUCACUUAUCCUCAACAUUGUACAAUUGAUGUUCACUUGUUCCUUAUCCAAAAGUUUGCCUUUUUUUAUUUGUCUUUUUGGGUUAACGCUUUUAAAAGACUUUCAUUUGGAAAACCACAAAUCACUCAGGGCACUCUGCGGUAGUCCAUUUUACACUAGCAAGAAUAUUGUCUUCUACAGGUAUGAAUACCAAGAAGAUCAAUCUUUAAUCGGUGAAGAUCAGUUUGCUUAUGAUGCUGAUUGGCUCAAUAAUCAACUCAAGUCUUGUCUGGAGUUCUGGCGAGGGGAACGAGAACCCAGUUAUGCUGCAGAAGAGGAGCGGUGGAAAUGCAACUUCUGUAGUUUUUAUUCCCAGUGUCCAGCAAACUCCAAACUUGAUCCACCUAGCUAAAGAAGUAGCCGAAAUAUCAAUUUUUUCACAAGGGUUGCAUUCGAUCAGAUUUCAGAUUCGAACUGGAAUGCUUACUUUGAAGGAGCAUGAAUUUGCUGAUGAGCUUCUUCGUGGUUCAUUUGGCAGUUCUUGUCGGUCAUCUCAAAUUACUGAUUUAUUCAUUCUUGUACUACUGUACUCUCAGUGCUGCUGAGGGAUUUGAUUAUUCAUUGUUGUAGCAAGAAAAUGUCACUGAUCUCCUUGAUCGGUUAUUUGUCAUUGUUGUCCCACCCAUUGUAGGAUGGUGGGACGGGAAUAUUAAGCGGUUUGCUAACAGGAUGGAAUAAUCGAUGCUUACUGCAUCAGAAAACCAUUAAUACACAUAUUUGGCUGCUAUUUUCAUUUCUUCCAUUCUUUGUGCACUGAAUUUAUUUAUUUAUUUUUUAUAGCCACUCUAGCUAAAGGGGCUAAAUUUCCAGAAAUUUUGGGGAUACAAAUUUUACCUGUUAGGAUUUUAUCAGAAGGAAAUUUUAGGAUCAAGAUCAACAACUUUUACCAUGAUGACAUUUUAAUAUCAAGUAGUACCAGAAAGUUACCUCUUAAAGGAUACUUUGCCUUGGUGAGAUAUCAUUAAGAGGUUGAGACUCGGGAAAUUUUAAUCCUCUUUCUCCUACGCUGUUUAUUAUAAAUCCCCCACCCCUCCCCGUUAAAAAAAAUUUUAAAAAAAGUUACCUUAGUAUACAUACAAUUUUCAGUGAUUAAGCAUUGUUGAAUGUAAAUCAAAUGAAUUAUCAGUUUCACCUGGAAACAAUAUUUUAGUCCCUUGGUAAUAAUAGUGAUUUAAAAACUUACUAAUACGACUAGUUAAUUUUAGAUGAUCUUAAAACUUACGGAUCAACGACGGAUCAUGAACAUCGUCAAGCUUGAUGAGUUGAAGUUUAUGGGCCUAUGGACUAUCAAAAUAUGGACCUCAACAUUAAAUUUAAGCCCAUUUUGCAACUUGUCAAUCAAAAGUGCAGUCCAAUUCAUCACCUCCUCCAGUCUAUACUGUCGAACUAAACUACUGGUAUGCUACAAUUCAGAGGAAGAGAGCUUCAUUCCCGUUGUUGUGCAAAAUCUGCUUCCUCAGAGGUUUGAUCUUUCUUAUCGUUACUCAUGGUUGCUCCUCCUAAUCCGUAGUCGAUCUAUUUAUGCAACCGUGAAUUCCACCUGCCUAUGUAUUGUUAUUGAAUCAUGUUUUGAUUCAAUUGUUCUCUUUUUCGAAGCUUUGCUGUGAACCCUUCACCUUACCUUGCCACAAAUUCAAUAUGUUUGAGUUUAAUUGCUUCCAAGAAUCGUAUCACGAACUUCUGCUGUAGCUUUUAAUAUCCAUAUGUUGUUCAUUUUGAGUUGGGCUGUGUUCAUUUCACAUUUUCAUUAUGCUUUCAGUACCAAGAAAUCAUGUCACAAAAAUUCGGUCCAAGAUGGUAUCUUUGUGGCAAAAUCUAUCUGUUAGGGGCUCAGAAGUUCAUAGUUCUUACUUAAAGAUUGCCCCACGUUUAGCAUCCUUUUAUAAUCAUUCAAUAGUUACUCAUUCUUUUCAUCCCAUUUCCAGUAUAUGGAAUUUUAGAUGCCAUUCAGCUCCCAUCCAGAUUUCAAUUGCUUCAAAUCAAACACUCCUGGUUGCAUUUUCCCUCUCACUUUUUCUGGUUUCUUUUUAUUCUACAAGUCCGUAUCCAAUUCGACGCCUGAGGGGACCCCCUUCAAGAUCUUUAAGGAGGAGAAUGAGUAAGAGGGCAAAAGCUGCCGCAAAACCUGUUCUAGAUGAAGCCCAAUUUGAGAGGGCUAUUUCUGGGCUCCCACCUAGGUUCACUCCCGAGGAACUUUGCAAUGUCAUAGUUUUAGAGAAGGACCCUUUAGUUUGUUUGGAGUUGUUUAAUUGGGCUUCAAAACAGCAUAGGUUUAGGCACAAUGUUUCAAGUUUCCACAUUACAAUAAAGAAACUUGGUGCUGCGAAAAUGUACCAAGAGAUGGAUGAUGUUGUUAAUCAAGUGCUUGCUAUUCGUUCUAUGGGUACGGAAGCUCUUUACAAUACAAUGAUCUAUUAUUUUACAGAAGCUCGAAAAUUGACUAGAGCAGUGAACAUAUAUAAUCACAUGAGGGAUAUCGGAAAAUUGGACUGCAGGCCUUCAAUUACCACAUUUAAUAUCCUUUUUGCAGCUUUAUUGAGUAGGGGAAAGAACUCAUACAUAAAUCACAUGUAUAUGGAGACAACUAGAUGCCUUUUCAGACAAAUGAUCGACGAUGGGAUUGAACCUGAUAUUUUCUCCUUGAAUUCUAUGAUAAAGGGAUAUGUGCUUUCACUUCAUGUUAAUGAUGCCCUCAGAGUAUUUCAUCAGAUGGGAGUGGUCUAUAAGUGCUUGCCUAAUUCCUUUUCAUAUGAUUACUUGAUCCAUGGAUUGUGUGCACAAGGAAGAACGAAUAACGCCAGGGAGUUGUGUAUGGAAAUGAAGGAGAAAGGAUUUGUCCCUAGUAGUAAAUCAUACAAAUCAAUUGUGAACUCCUUGGCUCUGAGUGGAGAAGUUGAUGAAGCGGUGAAGUACUUGUGGGAGAUGACUGAAAACCAAAGAUCAGCUGAUUUUAUCACCUAUAGGACCAUACUUGAUGAAACUUGUCGCCAAAGAGGGGCCGAAGAUGCCAAGCAUUUAUUGCAAGAGUUACAAGAGAAGGGCCUGCUAGACGGGCAUACUUGCAGGCAGCUUCUACAUGAGGUUGAAGGAAAUAUCGGAAACUCACAUUUCAGAACUCAAUUCAGGUACCUCAAUUUGUAGAUUUUUCAUUUUCCCAAGGAUCUAAGAGGGAAAAAUGCCUCGGCAUCAACUCUAGGAGUAAUAUGCCAGCAUGACCUGAUACCUCUGCUUUCUUUUUGUCCUAUCAUUUUUAGGCUCUCAUGGCAUAAGACAAUUCUGAACUUUGAACAAAGUUGCUUUCGUUAUCUGUUUCUCUGUCUUGUUUAAAACGAACUGCCCAAGACGAGAGUUAGGGUUUUGAGUUGAUUAGAGUUCUUAAACUAUAUCCAUUUAUGCUAAAGUUGAGCCAUAACUACAAGGACUACUUAGAAAGUGCUUUCAUUAGGUUCUUUGACUACUUGGUUAUAUUUUUAACUCAGAUAAUACAAAUGUAGUUUGUCGAUAGGUUUACAGCUAAAAUUGCUUUGUUGCUCAAUUAAAUCUUUUGCUGUUCUUGCAGCUAAGAGCGAGCGGUGGAAUUUGUCUACUUCAUAUCCAUGCUAAGCCACCAAAAAUAUGUGAGAUCUAUGGAAAAGGCUUUGCAAUGGUCUUGUUAGCUUGCAAAAGAACCAAUGUUCUUCAGAUAAGUCCAUGGUAAUUUUGUUUUCCAGCCUUGAAUGGUUUUCUAAUGUUAAUAUCAACUUAGCGACCUGGUUCAUGUUUUUGUUUUCCAGCCUUAAAUGGUUCUCUAAUAAUAACUUGAACCUGGUUCAUGUUUACGAUAACGAGCUUUGUUUGUUUAUAAUAUACUGUGAUGAAAAAGCUGGAGUCAUUUAGAACUAUGCGCUAGGGAAGUGACUGUCUCUAACAAGAGAUUUUCACAAGAGGGAGAUAUCAUUUAUGGGGACAGUGAAUAAAUAUGGAUGUUGUGAUGAAGUAGCCAAAAUUAAGCAGACCUAUGCAGGAUUGUGAGAAAUUGUUCAUUGUGGCAUUCCAUAACAAUGUAAGGUAAGUUAAGCCAAUAUCAGGUUGGCAGCGAAAAGUCAGUAUUUGCUUGGCAUUAGGCAGUGUUUAGUUGUUUUUCAAGUUCUGAUGGACCACAUUUGUCAGGAUUGAGGAGUUUCUUCUAGUUGUUUAACUUAUCCCUAAUAAAACUAUACAGAAUAAAUCAUUACUUCAUGCACUUCCAGAAGUCAAACCUAUUCCGUGCUAUUUCCCAGUGCUCCUUUUUCCCUUCCUUUCUAAAGAGUGUGGAACGUCUAUCUUACCCUGUUCUAAGAGAAGGAAAAGGAACAUUAAAAUGUUGGAAGACUUGAAUAAAUCUUCCGGUAGCAGUUGGUGCCUAAUGUUCAAUGGUCUUGAUUAUUUGUUCUUGGUUCUCUAGGAAUUCUUUACGUGGAUAAGCAUUCAGUUCUGGUCUAUCUUGACUGAUGACUAACUGGAGUUUGCCUGGAAUCAAAAUCAAUGGCUGCAGAUGUUGUGAGAAGAUCAGUUGCUUGUCUGCGACAAUUGAGAUGCAUAUACUGAUUGGGCCGGGAAAAGAAAAACAUCAGUCUGCAUUGCUGGAAAAGAUUUUCUUUUUCUUUUAGGGAAGUGCCCAAUUAAGUUUAUAAAUGUGUGGUGGCUUGGAGGUGACCAGAUAACUACGCUGUAAAUAAAGGGUUGUCUACUGCCAAUGAGCACUGUUACUCAUGAUUAAACGAGCUGGCAAAAUCUGAAAUCUCUUGUAGAAAAAAUAAAUGGUAAAAAAGAGCACUUAUGUUUCUAGUGUGAGGAGAUGGCUUAGGUCUAUGCCCAGCUUGCCACCUUAAUAUGAUUUUCGGUGCGUUUGUUAAGCCUGGCUUGCUUUUCAUUCUAUAUUAUGGUAUCAUUUUCGUGAACCUGCUUUGUGAGUUGAGAUGUAUUACUUAAUUACCAUACUUAAGUUAGUAGACCUCAUUUGGCAUUGCUCCUCCUGUUUUGUUAUGAGGGAGAAUGAUGACAUUAGUCAUAAUUGCUUGGCAAAAUGUGCCAUUAAACUAGUUUAGGAAGUUAAAUCAGAAACAAGUUUUCCAAUGUGACUAAAAAGCAAGUCACAGUCUGUUGAUGGGCCCAACAAUUGUAAUACUUUUGAAUAUCUUAUUAAAGUUUAUAUGAAAGUUACCGUUUGCUCCCAAAAAAAAACUGAACAAAUUGAUUAAAAUACUAUCCUAAACACAAACUUACUGCCCUGUUACAGAUGGAUCAACUUUCAAGUGGCGGUUUUUUUUUUUUUGUGUUUUGGGGGGGGAGUUAAAGAAAAAGAAAAAGACAAAAUCAUCAUUUUAUAUAGUGAAACAUCCAGAGCUUCUGUAAUUAUAAUGUAGAACUUAAACACUAAAAAUACAGACAUUAAACUAAUUAAUGUAAAUAUUAAGACUACGAUAAAUGUAAAAACACAAUUUCUUUUGUUACUUGUUGAAAUUUGUGCCCACACUUCAAUUUUAGCCAUCAAAUUACAAAUUACUUUAUCUGAACCAUUAAUUGCAUUCUGCAGCUACUGAAGAUAUUAUGAAUCCUGAAAACAUCAUUUAAAUCCAAAUCCGUAUUGGGGGAAGGACACGCAUUAGUAGUUCAAGAACUAGAGUACGAGUACGAGUAGGAUUAGGAUUUUUCGUAAAUAUGAUACAUGAAGUCAUGUAUUAGUAUUUAGAAGAGUUAAUAACGUUUUGCCCCCUGAAUGUAAGGAGUAAUAACACUUUGUUCCCGUCAAUGAAGAAAAGGCACUUUACCCACUCAAGAAUCUUUUGUUUGGUAUUUAUAGCAAGUAUUCUUUUUUUUUUUUUUUUUGUAAAAAGUAAGAAAAUGAACUACUCAUAUACGUUGACAAUUCCACCUCUAUAUUAUCUUCAAUCAAAUUAAUCUUGUGGAAACAAAGUUAUAACCUCCGCCUCCCUCCACCACUUCCCCUCAGUUUCAUAUCAUAGAAUUGUCAACAGUCUAUUUUUGGGAAUACUUGACACAAGCUCCAACUGAAAUAUUCUCAAGUAGGCAAAGAGCUUAUUGUUUUUCAUUGAGGGGGCAAAAUGUUAUUACUAACCAUAUUUAGAAUGCGAGCAUAGAGACACAACAACGCCCCGGCUCAUGAACAUUAAACUGCAACUUAUACGAAAUUGUUGACCGUUUCUGGAUUUCUGCUCCCUACCAAAAGAUUUCCCACUCAAAUAAAGCUAGGACCCUAUAAAAAAAAAAAGAAAAAGAAAACAGAAGAGCAAAGAAUUGUGAAUCAAAAUGCCGUGACAACUCCACAGACUGUCGAUAUUCCAUGAUCCAUCCCUCCAACUGCAAAGCAUGGUCUCCUUUCUCAAGUCCGUGAGAGUGGAAAGGAUCUGAAAUUUUGCAUUUUUUUUUCUCUUAUUUGCGGAGUCGAGGCAUGUAUAAUUCCUAUGGAACUGCAAAUACAGACUACAAAACUGUAUCAGCUCGGCUUAUUAUAUACAUGGAAUCCGCCAAAAAUGCUCAAAAGGCCACUUUGUACUCGGGUAACUGCAUGGCCUAGAUUAUCUUGAAACAUGGAACUUAAAAGAAUUGUAGGACGCCAGUUAUCGUGAUGGGGGGAUCAAUCCCUACACGAGUAGCCUUCCCUUCCGUAACUAACUGUGGCAAUGCGUUGGCAUCUUUGGCUGCAACUCCUUCACCAGUCCAUAAUGUGACAUGAGGCCACUGGUUUUUAGAAGUUAUCUUUUCACCAUUUACCGAGCCUGUGUGAGCUUCUAAUGCUGCCAAUUUCCCAGAAAAUAGUAGCGCAGUUAUAUCCACAGGUACCUUUUGAUUAAGAAACGAGCCAUAAUUUGCAACAGCAGUAACACCAUGACUUCUCUUGUGAGCCAGCGUCACAUGAGCUUUUGUGAGACUAUCCUUCAGGUUUUUCUCCUUGAAGAAGGUUUCAACGUCAGGAUCCUUCUCAGCUAUCUGAUUCAAGAAAGGAAACAAUACAAAUCUGUUAUACUGAUUUUCAUCCCAUAAAUUCAUCAUAAGAGAAAUGAGGGAAAUGUGAAACCAAAUCCUUGAGUAAACAAGAAAACAGCAAAGAAAGAAGUAAAACGUAUUCAGCAAUCACAUUGCCAAAUUUCCUGGCUCUUUUUUUCAUUUCCUUUUUUUUAAUUAAAAAGAAAAGGUAGUAUGGGACUCAAAACCAGAAAAGGUUAUCCAUCCAGAAUGAAAUGUGAAUGCCACCACGUUGAUAC